rnacentral:lncRNA from 1 species
AAGAAAAAAGAGAAGUACCGGCAACAGGCAUUGGAAGAGCAGCAUUUGGUGGUAUUCCGGCAAGCUGAGCCAGGCCAUAAGAGAGAUAGCUUGAAGUAAUCAAACUCUCUCUGGUGUCCGGUUUGCCUUCGUAGCAAUCCUUCUUCCACAUCCCAACUACUGUUGAUUCGGAUAACGGAAAAGGCUCCGAUGAGCAAAGGUAGCAAUUGCAUACAGAAAAUCGCUUUGAUUGUAAGGGAAGCCAUUGCUCUGGACACUUAUUAUCUGUAAAAACUUCCAAGUUCUCUCUUUUUUCUAGUACGGAGAAGAUACAGUCUCCGAGAUUGCCCGCUUCGAAGAUCAGCGGCGGAAGACGGCGGAGUUGGGAUCGUUCACGGAGGAAGAUAAUUUCGCGGUUAAAUUCUAGAUUCUUUCGUACUAUGCAUCUUUCUAAGUUAUUGUUUAAUUAAUUAAACUGAUAAUUAUAGUAUACUAAUCCAGGUUUAUAGUAAAAUAAACCUUCCGUUCUUUUUUACUUAUUCCGAUCGUAUUUGGCACCACCCAUUAAAAAUAAUGAUUGACAUUACUAUUUAUCACACUCCUAUAAUAAAUUCAUGUUUAGAUUAAUUUUUGAGAAAUGAUUUGAAAAUGAGUAAUUAAUGUUAAUGAUAAAACAUGUAAGAAAAAUAAUAAUAGUCCUGAAACGUUGAAAGUAACAAGUGAAAGCAAAAAUUUAUUUUAAAAAUAACGGACAACUAUUGGAGUAAAAGUAAACGAAGGAACUAAGAAGUGAUUAUUGUAAAGAGGAACUUUCGCUAAUAGCCACUAUAAUAAACUUAAUUAUGUUCUAUAGCUAUAAUUUGCAUAUUUAUGGGCUGUAGCUAUAAUUUAAGCUAUCUCGUUUGUAUAAUUCGCAAAUUUAUAUAAAUUCGCAGGUUUGUAUAUUUCGCGGGUACAUUUAUAUGAUUCAGAUAUUUUUGUAUAAACUUGAAAUAACUAAUUUAUACAAUUACAAACAUCAGAAGUGUAAACAGUUAUACAAAAUAUAUUAUACAAAUUAUGAUCUAUACAAAAGUUAUACAAAUUAUAUUAUACAAAAUCCGAAUUAUACAAACUUGCGAAUUAUACAAAACUAAAAAGCUGAGUUGCGUAAUUAUGACUAAAAGUAGGCCGCGAAUUGUAAUUAAGGCAAACUAUAGCUAUGCUAUCUAAUUAACAAGUAUAUAUUUAUUUAUACGUGUAAUUUUCCCUUCAAAAAUUUAGAUUCAAAGUCUCUGCUUGCCUUAAACAUCUAUUGUAUAUGUACAAAUUAGGAGUAACUUAGAAUAGGGAUAAGGGUCUGGAAAAUACCUCAAUUUUGGUCGAAUUUGUUGUUGCGAUACUAAACUAUUUUAAAUAGUGUCUGAAUUAAGAUGAGUAAUUUUACGUAAUUGAUGUGUUAGAGACUUAGAGCUAAACACUCUUAAAAUGUCGCCAAUCUACUAAUCUUGCAUGAUUGGAUCAACAGUUUAUCUGUCUAUGUAUUUGAAUUAUAGAAUCAACCGUUGAUGCUUAAGAUAGAUGGCUUGCGUAAUAUUAUUGGGCGUGGUCCUUUCAACAUUCUUUUUAAUGGAGAAUCUUGAUACAAUAAUAAAGUUUAUGUUUGUGUGACUAACAUGCCACUUGCUGGAAUUAAUUGUCUAGUCUUUACUAAGGGUUGUAUACAAAUUUAUGAGAUCUAUGUCGUUUUUUGGAAUCAAAUGAAGGUCAAAGGACCAUUUGAUUGAUUAAGGGACAUAACGACAUCUUCGCUUGAUGCUAUUUUUAGAUGUAGCAGUAAACGAGUGGGUCGUGCCUGAUUUCAGACCAAACCAGACUCUUAUUUGUGUGAGUUACUUUCGGACACGUAUAUUGAAGAUCUCAUUUGUCUUUGAUUAGGGAUUUUCGUUAGAUUAUAAAUGAAGUCUUAUUCGAUCUUUUCUAUGAUUAUAAUUUAUAUGAGAGAGGAGAGAGGAAAUUGAUUAUUUAAAUCGUAUCUAAAUUAAGAGAAAGUAAUUUUUAUGUAAUUUAUAAUUAAAAAUUUGAAUCAUAAAAUUAAAUAUUCAAAAUACUUUUAGAGUAUGGUCAAUUUGCAAAAUUUGCAUAAUCUGAAGCAACUAUUUAUUUAUUUAUACUUCAAAUUUUAGUUAUGAAGUAGUCUUUGGCGUUUAAAAUAGAUUGCUUACGUAACAAUCCUUGAAUGACAUUAUUUAGUUAUACUGGUUGCUACCAAUAACCAAUGCCAUUUUUCAUACUUUUUGUUAACUUAUGUAAAAUCACAUUAUAUAUUUUUAGUAUUCUCACAUUAUUUAAAAAAUAUGUAUAUUAGUGGAUUUUUUGAGUCACAGCUUUUAAAAAAAACAUAUUAGUGGAUUUUAUUUGAAGCAAAAAAUAAAAUAAUUUGAGUCGAAAUUACAAUAAACUCCUUCAGAAACCAGGUCAGACGGGCAAUUAUUGUCAACAUGACACAAAUAGGAAACAGAGUCGCGACAUCGCCAGUAAAAUAAAUAUAAAUAUUACGAUGUCGCAAUAAUAAUAAUAAUAAUACGCCGUAAUUGGUGCCAAUAUUUUUUCAACCCUGCGAAAUUGCAAAAUUAGGGUUUCUCUUGGUUCAAUUAUACGAAGCUUACGGUGAAUUUGCAAACCCUAAGCCCUCAAUUUCGAUUAUUUUGCUUCAGGAGAACCGUCAAUUGGAGAACAAACGAGCUUCGUUCUUCAAUUGGAUUGGAUAUCCCUCAGUUUGAUCGAGUAAGCUCUUUUUCGUAGUUGGAGAUUUGAAUUCUCUAUGUACUGAUGUUAGAUUGUGAAAGGGAUAGUCUUUAUCAUCAAAGAUCAAUGUGUUUCUUCAUUGAUAUGCGGAUGUGUGAAAUUAUGAAAAUUUGAAACUCAAAUUGUAAUGGAAUCAACUUUUAAUAAGUUUUUUUUUUCUCUAUUGCAAGUUGAGGUACUCCAACAGAAAGAGGUAAGUUGAGCUAAGUGUAGUUCUCUCCUCUUUCUGUUGGAGCAGUAAGUUAAGUUUUUUUUUUCUUUUUCAUUUUUAUUGUUCAGUCUUGUCAAGGAUCAAAGUGUUAAUUUGAGUUGCAUUCGUUGAGUAAAUUAUUGAAAAAAACUAAUCUUUAGGUUGAAAAAACUGGUUUGAGUUGCAUUUGUCAAGUAACUGUUGGGAAAAAACCAAUCUUUAGGCUGAAAAAACUGUUUGAGUUGCAUUUGUGAAGUAACUGUUUGAAAAAACUAAUCUUUAGGCUGAUUAUACACAAUUUAGUGAGAGGUUGGACUUAGUGCAGUAGAUAACACUGGCCGUCAUUAUAGACAAUUUCUUGGGACACUAUGCACUCUAAAUAACAUACACUCCAUUGUACACGGGAGACACUAUUCUUAGGACCAAUCUGAGUCCUUGUUCUUUUUCCUUAAUAUUUACUUCAAUUUUCUUUUUGUUGUAUCUAUGCUUGAUCAAAUAAGACCUCCCUAUCCACUUGAGAGUAGAGGUAUAGAAAUUGCAUAUGAAUGAUCUCUCUUCCAGCUCAUAUAUAAGUUUUCUCCUUAGUUGUACAGAUAAAAGCUGUUUUUCUUUCUGUUAGUGUCGCUUUUAGCCCCCUUUAUCUUUACUCUUGGUAUUCUGCUUUGAACAUAGGCGGUAGUAGCCCCUGCCAAAUCCAUGGCAUUAAGGCAGUAUUUAUUUGAAAAUGAUACUGACAAGGUUUAUGAGCUCUUUCAUUUUGCACUACGGUUGUAUUAUGGUUACAUUCUCCCAAUUGUCCUCCUCCAAUGCCAUUUUGUUUGCAUUCUAGUCAUAUGAGUAGAUUGACCUUUGCUGCACUAGAUAUUUCUGGAUUGUCUUACCUACUGAUACUUUCCAGGAAAUAAUGCUCUACUUAUAUACUUGGUGCUGAUUGAUGGAUCCAGAUAGCAAGAAUUUUGGAAGAGGUAAGACUUUUACAUGUUUACCUUUCCCCUCAAAAAAUAAAAAUAGGGACAUACAGUCUCCUUGCUUGUUACACAUGUUGACUACUGCAUGUCUUUUUUUUUUUUGAAACUGGUAAAUGUGGUUGACUACUGCAUGCCUACUCAUGUGAUUAGUAUGCAAUUGAUGAAUAAUGCUUGUUAUUGCAUCCCUAGGCUUAGAAUCAAGGUGAAUGUGAGACAUUGAUUGAUAUUCUUGCUCAGACUGCUAAUGGCGAAUUUAUUUGCUGCUGAAAUUUUGUUUUAUAGUCCUAUUGCUCUUGCUCUUACUUGCAGGAAAUAAAGUUAUUGUUUUAUUGCCAACCCAUUUAUGCCGACUUCUUCUGCUUACAAAGAUACCAAUGGCAUGACCAGAAAUUUUAUGAAGGGUGGUCAAGCUAUAAGUAAAUCUUUUUGGAAAAUGGACGCACCAUCAUAUUUAAUUUAAUAUGAAGUGAACUGAUAGAGCAAAAAGAAAAAGGAGAGAGAGAAUAGAGUUCAAUCUAGAAAGAAAUCACUUUCAAGUUUUUAAGAUUUUAAGCCAUAGGUUACUGAGAGACCCGCGGAAUGUGGAAGAGCUUAUAGCUAAGCUUCUGAAAACCAAAAAAUAAAGAAGAAGAGAAACACUCGGCAUUAGUUAAGUUUCUUAAGGUGUUAAAUGAACAUAAUUUGGAUAGCAGAGGAAUUCGUAGUGGCAAAUGAAUAUAGAGGUGUUGUGGCAGGCUUACCAUUUUAUCACCAACUGACUGCAGAUUGCAUCUGUGGCUUUUACCAUUUUUUGUAUUGCAUAUUCCUUCACAAAUAUAGUUUUGUUUGUAAAAUUCCUUAGAUCAAUAUCUUGAUAUUUUGUUAUUGACUAAAUAACUGUCAAUUUUGUUCUCCUCUUUAGAAUGUGUUCAUGUUUGAUAAAGAUAUACUCAUAUACAUAGUUUAUAACUGUUGUUGAUUUGGUCCAAAUAUAUUGUUAGGGCCAAGAGAACUCACAGGUGCUCGUGAUCUUAUUAGUCACUUCAAAUUGUUGCCUCAUUAUGAGUUCUUUGGUAAGAGGUCGCUUCCAUUAUCAAUUUCCGAUACACAUUAUCUUCAUAAUGUGGUUGGAGACACAGAAAUUAGGAAAGGUGAGAAGAUGCAGUUGGAUCAGCUCACACAGGAUACUUCCUUUUCAAGAGAGACAAGUUCAUGUAUCCGGCCGUUUGACUUAGAUGUCCUUAGAGAAGCCUUCCAACUACGUGAAACGGCUCCAGUCAAUUUGUCUCCUGUAAGAUAGCUGCUUUUGAAUUUGGAUGAUUUAACUCCAUUUGUUCACCUGCUUCUAAGCAACACUCUUAUCCUUUAUGAUUUCUGAAGUUGGAGCUUUUGAAUUGGGUUUCCUCAUAUUAUGUGCUGAAACAUAAAAUGGUUUUUCCUGUUAUCAUAGUUGCUGAUCAGUCGGUCUUUUCAUGGUGUUUGAUAGUCUGACAAAGGCACCCCCACUAUAGCUGGAAAAUCUAAGAGCGAGAUGAAAGACAAGGAGAAGAAGGAGAAGAAGCAUAAAAAACACAAGGAUAAAGACAAGGAGAAGGACAAAGAGCAUAAGAAGCACAAACAUCGUCAUAAAGAUCGGAGUAAAGACAAGGACAAAGAGAAAAAGAAAGAUAAAAGUGGCCACAAUGAUCCUGGUGCUGAGCAUUCAAAGAAACAUGAAAAGGUCUGCUGUCAUCUAAACUCAAAUGAUUUUGUUUCAAAAAUGAUGAUUCUCAUGGUAUGUUGUUACUUUGAAUAUAGUCCUAGGUUCAUGUUCAGAAGUUUAGAAGAUGGUUCAACAUUAUCUUAACUAAAUAGAAUCUUUUAAAGUGGAUGAAACUACAAAUUUCACAACAGGUCUCAGUACCAUCGUGCUGACUGUUGCACUUGCUUUCCUGAAUUUGUACUUUAUAAUUUAAUCCAUUUGUACAUUAUCCUUUUUUGUUACAAGUUGCCUCUGUACGAUCAAGUGGGAACAAUAUUGAGAUUAAUUAAGGUUCAGCUUCCUAGGCAUCGAACAUGAGGUCUUUGAAAUGAACUGCCACUUGACUUUUUAAGUUAUUGAGGUGAAAAGUUGUUGAGUCCGGCCCUAUUCGGUUUAGUUUAGUGAUACAUAUAUUUUAAGUUGGUAAAAUUCUGAUCCACUCCUUUACUCUAAGAAUAACCUCAUGUUUGAAUUUUGUGUAAUCUACUUAAUGCGGUGUUGACUUUAUAGUUUUCCUCUCUGAUAGUUUGAUACUUCCUUUUUUGUUUUAAGUUCUUUCCGGGUGGGACCUAUUAAAAAAAGUUCUUGCCAGGUGGUACUUAACUAUUGAGUUGCUUUGUGGAAAAUUCACCCUUGCUGACUUCGACCCUGAUUUGCAACAUCUUGGAAUUUGGCAAUCAAAAAGUCAUACUUCAUGGUAAUAAAAGGGAUAAAAGAACUCAUUGAUUUUGAUCGUUUUUCUUAAACUGAUUUCAGAAAAGGAAGCACGACGAGGAGGAUCUCAACGGUAUCCACAAACACAAGAAAAGCAAGGUAACUAAAAAAUGUUGGAUUCAUAUAAUAUUUUUCUUUACUAUAUUUUGAACCUUCUUUGUUGAGGAAAAUUAUAUAUUUGCAAACGUUAGUUUUGUGAUAUAAAUUUAUUGUACGCAAUCUAAUCCCUACACUUAGUAUACAUUCACCUUUUACUAAUUGUCCCUUCAUCUUACCUGCUAAAAUGUUGCAGCACAGGAGCUCAAAGAUUGAUGAGAUUGGUUCAAUAAAGGUAGCCGGCUGAAUUGUGCGUGUGGUUGUAUAAUUUAUGUUGUCCCAGAUUUUGCAGUUGAGAAUUUGGAGGGUUCCUUUAGUUAGAAUUGUGAAAUAUCAGAAGUUCAUGUCCUGAUCAAUUCAUUAAUUGAAGAACUUUAUGGCAUGCGCCGGUGUUGACAUCUGUAUCUUUAUUUGAGCAAGACUAUUCCUUGGAAGACAUUACUGGUCAGAUGCAUCAAACUUUUUUGCGUAUUCAUGAGUGCAAUCUGGCGUUUUGAUUUAUAUACUUCAAUUUUCCCCCUUUUCUAAAUAACCACCUUGAAAAAGUAGGCAUGCAUCUAGUCUGGCCUCUACAGUGAUAAAGGAGGCAUCUGCAUGUCUGACAAAAUGUUUUCCUGCCUGUUUUGGAUAUCAAAUAAAAAAUUUCUCCUCAUGGAAGUCAGGUGGAACUAUCUUAUACUUCUUUGUCCUUUUUAUCUAUCGUUUAAAGUUUUGGCACACGCAUUGAGAAAACCAUUUGCUAUCUUUAACAUAAAGAUAAGGGGUAUUUGACUAAGUUACCCGUAGUUCUUAAAUGAUUAGUUAUUGACUAUAUCCGCCCUCUUAGAGUAGUAAAGGUGGAAUUGGAAAAAGGAAUUAACCGUUUCUUGGUUUCUGAAAUGAUAAUAUUUUAGAACAAAUUUUUUUAUUAAAGUGAUAGAUACAAAAGUUCACAAAAGAAUAAGGAACAAGAAAGCAUAUCUUAGAAAAUUUUGAACAUUCAUGAAAAAGUUUGCUGUUAGAGAUUCAAUUUCAUCUUGCAAAGAGAUGGAGGAAAAAUGUGUUAUUGGUGCAUGGGUGCAGCCUCAAACUCGUUAUGGUAAGGUGGAUAUGUGAUCAUGGAAGUGUCUGAGAUGCACUGUCCUUGAGCAUAAAAGAUGUAAACUUUUGUCUAUGCUGUCCUGAAUGUGCUGGUGGAGAUAUAAGGUGAAACUGGUCAAGGCUAGUUGGAAAAGGAUGGAAGUUUCUAAACCUUACUGGAGUACUGCUUACAUCAAUAAAGAAAAGCAACAGAAGUAAUCAAAUGAUAUGCCAAACUCCAAGGUAUUUUUGUAUCUUCUAUUUAUUUAUUAUUAUUUUGGCUCAUUGGAAUCAAAUAAUAAUCAUGUAUACUUCUUUUGGGAUGAUUUUUUGUCUCCAGUCUACAUAUGUAUGUGUGUGCAUAUUACUAAACAUUCUCAGUUGUGUGUCGUUGAGAAUUGAUCCCCUGAUCAAGAUGUCAUCAAGCAAGUAAAUGAACUGGACCAACUGAGCAAGCAUAUCUUUUUUGCAAGUAACUGAGUAUCUCAUUGAAGGAGGACCCUCUCCAACUUAGAUGAUGAAUAUGAGUUGGAACUUGGAAAUUUGGCUACUUUAAAAUGGAUUUAUGUGCAAGUCUCAUGCACAGAAAGGAAGUUGUAACAAGUUCCCUGUCCCCCCUGGUGUUUCAGCAACUUUGCUAUUGGGAUAAUGGUGGAAAAAUUUACUGAAUAGCCGGUGGAAUUAUGAGAAAGAGAAAUUGUAAGGUUUAUAUAUGUGUGUGUAGAAAGGCAAAAAAGGACAUGUUUGACGAGUAUGCAAUAGUUGAAUUUAGAACAACUUGCAGUGGAUGAAAGAUAAAACUUUUAUUCAAAUAAGUGUCCUGUUCAAUCACUGCACCAUUCCGAGUUUCACCUUAAACCGGUUUCUAUAAUGAUCAUCUGUUUACGUGCAACUAAUGAUUUUAGAGUUUAUUUUGUUCAUGACAUAUGCUGCUUAACAUUGAACACAUGUUUUGCUUCAUUUGAAAUUGAAAAGCUAUUAGGUUUUUCUAUAUUAGGAAUUACGUCAAGUGCUUUGAUCUUUUUAUGCUUAUUCAAUACUUUUUCUGUUGUGGAUUGAAGGUCCCUGUGGCCUGAUGUUCUUCACAAGGUAACUUUUCAAUCCCUAAUUUGGAGUGAAAUGAAACAAAACAUUGGCACUGUGUGGAAUUUUCGUCACAAGCAAAGCAUUUGAAGAAGUAAUAAGAAAAGGGUAGUGUCAAUAAUCUUUUGUAUUGGGCGUUUUGUGAUUUUCCCUUCUUUUUUUCUUCAUGUAUAAUCUGCCAAGUUUACUUGAUGUAGUGUUCUUGAUAUCAACUUGAGUUCUUUACUAAGAGCAGAGGUUGAUCAUAGUACUUUCUAUAUGUAGCAUAAUAUUUCAUGCCUUCCUGCAUGCAGAAUAGCCUCGGAAUGGAUUUAGUUCAAGGUACUCCCUUGUGUCAUAUAUUAAGGGCUCCCAUUAGUUGGCAGUGAUGGUGAGGAACUUGAUCCAUCUUCAGGUUUAGCAAGUUGCUGCAUGCUGUUGUAUGAUUCUAUGUUUCCCUCUUUUGAGGGUUCUAAUCUCAAGGUUCAGUCUUAACCAUUUGGAGCUUUGGGUAAUAAAAUGAGAAGGUUGAGAUGAAUGUUGGUCUGCUCUUCUGUCAUUUGUCUUCUCCAUUGAGUUUGAAGGUUAACUUCUCAACAGCAUUAAGCAUCUGCAGAGAAUUUUAAAAAAAGGUGUCGCUAUAUGGUCAUGAAUAGAAUCACUUCUUGUAUAUACUAGGAUAGAAUGAGAUACAUAACUCCUUUCUUGAUGAAAACAAGAUUUAUUUUGUGUGUGUUUGGCCAAUUUUAUCUGCAUUGGACUUGGCUAAGCUAAUUGUUAGAUGUUCCUAGUGAUCAACAUGUAAAUUUUUGGCUUUACUAUUCGAAUCCUGGACUAAAAUGUAGCCCUACUGCAAAUAUGAGAAGUUUAUAUAAAUAGGCAAUGAAGAUGAUUUGUACUUAACUUUAGGCACUUUAGCCCUAUCUGCAUUUGGUUUCGUUAUUUGAUCAAGGUCAUGUUUGAAUGCUUCUUUUGCUAGUCCGGUUGUAUGACCCAAGAAGCAUGACAGUUCUAGUUCAUUAGUGAUCUUUGACAAGAAAAGGGAGAGUAUUUGCUAGGUUCCUAGUGAUAGCUGUAGUAUAUAUUGCUUGAACUCUCCAAAAAUGAUGUUAUACUCGUGUCAAAUCCUCAAAAAUUACACUAUUCCUUUCAACUUUGCUAGAGUCUGAGUUCUCACUUCUCAUGACUGAAUGAGCAUUGGUCUGGAAUUCAACUUUGCAUUACACUUGUUAUGAUUAUGAUGAUAAUGAAAAAUUGGAGCAGUUGUCUUGUUGUAUGAACAAUAAUGAAGGGAACAGUAGUCUUUGUUGCUAUAGAUGCAUUGCAUGUAAUUUGUUAUGUGUGCAGUUUAAGUAGGAAGCAAAAGCAGCUGUUAUUAGGCUGGAAGAACAUGUGUAUUGACAAGUCACAUCUGGAUUUCAAAUUUUUGUUUAUAACUGCCGUCACAUUGCAUACAUGGAGGAAUCUUUCGCAAUGUUGCAUAUAAAAAAUAAGGAUUAAAGUUAUAUACACUGAUAAUUUAUACUAGUGGUGUAAAUUUCAUAUUUACCAAGUUAUUAAUUAUUGAUAAUCAUAGUGAUUAACUUGUAAUUAUCUUACAAGUGACAUUUUAAAGCAUCUUAAACUUUUUUUCCUCUUUUCUGGUAUAAGAAUCUUUCAUCCCUUUGUAGUCAGUUAGCUCCAUCAAAUCAAGAAAAGACAAACUAAUCAACUAAGAUAUAGUCAUGACAUGAGUCUUAUAUUAGUAUUACUAGUAUCUAAAAAGAAGGAAGUUACGUAGACUUUGUGAUACUUAUAUUAGUGCGAGCCAUUUGGGGAAAAAAUGUGCGAACUUGAUUCAAAGCGGAUUGAGUAAAAUUUAAAAUGUGUUUUAAGCACUUAUUUUUAAGUUUAAAAAGACAAAAAAAAACAAUCAAAAAUCACAAGUUAAAAUUUCUGCCUUUAAAAUCAAAAGUUAUAAGGCCAUCCAAACAGUCUCUAAAUAUUUACUCAUUUUGUUUUCCUGCUUCGAGUUUGCCUUAUCCCUUAAGAACUCUAUUGAGCUUUUUGUUAGAGCUAAAUUGGAGAAAAAUGAAAUGUUUCCACUCCCAAUGCCACAAAAUGAUUGAGGAUUACGAUAGAGUUAAAAUAAAUUUUGUUGUUUAUUAUAUUUAAUAAGUAUUACAUAAUCAAAUAACUAAAGAAAGGAUAGACUGCGGGAGAAUCUUAUUAAGUAGAUUAAUGACUCGUCGGAGCAGGACUUUAACUCCUUUUCUAUCAUGAACAAUAUAUCAGUUUUAAUUUCGACGUAUUUUGGAUGCUUAAAGGCAUCGCUUGACACAAAGUAGCAUUAAGCUAUGUAGGCUCUUCUUCGUCAAAUAAAUAAUUAAAUUCACCACUUUGGUCUUAUUAAUAAAUCGUUAUUAAUUCCAUAUAAAAUAUACUACUAAUAUUAAUUGAGUGCGAUGCUGAAUAGGUGCAAUAAUGAUGGAAAAUUUUCUUUUAAAAAUGAUUUAAAGUACGGACAAAUUUUAGAUCAUACAAAGGGGGAAAAUGAUGGAAGAUAAAAAAGUAAUUAUAUAAAGAGAGAUUCUCCACUAAAGCUUUUUUUGGUGUUUUAGGACUUUUUUCUUUAUCUUUUGGUAUACUAAUUGUAAAACUACUUUCAACUUUAUGCAACGAUAAUGUAAAUAAUUAUUGCACUCAAUGUCAAAAAGAAAAAAAAAAGUUUGAUACACUAAGCUUUCGUUAGGUGUGGAAUUAAGAAAAAUAAAUUAGAUCACAAGAAUCUAUUUUUAUGAGUACGAUUUGGAAAAGAUAAGGUACACUGUGCACAUAAAUUUUAUCCUUACUUUAAUAGAGUAAAGAAAUUGUUUUUGAUAAACUAUCGACUCAAGAAAAUUAUUUUCCCGAUUGUUUUUGGGACAAACUUUUCCAAGAUGUUUACAAAACGAAACGGCUAGUAGAUUCUUGAAACUUUUUUACUCAUGUCAUUGAGAUAUCAUUUUUAUCUUUUUUGUUACUUUAAUACUUUAUCAUUUGUAAUAAAUCUUUACAAUUAGUGACAAAUAGUAAUUAUUAUUGUGCUUAAAUGAUUAAUUGUAUUAUUUCAUGUCUCUUACAAUUAUUUUGUUUAGUAAAGAAAUAGGAGCCUAUAUGUGUCCAUGCAUGGAGCUCUACAUUAUUGGGAAAGUAUUUGUCCUAAAGUUUAAAGACGUUUUUUUUAAAAGUUUGGUCCCAAAAUGAUAAUAUUGACAAACUUUAUAUUAUAAGAAACAAAGAUUAUUAUAAUGGGAAACUUGUCCAAAAUUUUAUUAUAUAGUUUAUCCUUAUUUUUCUGAAAGGCCUUUUGCAUGUUUGUGAGUGUCCAAAAUGGUUACUUCUUCCAAUUCCAUGAACUGAUGAACUGCUUCAGUUUCACAUGAUAAUUGGACUCAUUUGUCAAUUGUUUUUAUGUAUCGUAUUUUUUCUGUCUCAAUUUAUAUAGACAUCAUUUUAUAUGAUAUAGAUAAUUUUUUUAUAAUUUAUUUAAAUAAAAUAUAUGAUAGAUGUUUUGUGUCUAUUCUAAUAUCUUAUUUAUUGUGUUUUGAUUAUUAUAUUAUUUUAUUAUUAUUUUUAACUCUUUUUUAGUAAGGUUUGCAUUGAUACCUUGUUACUUGCUAUAUUCUCUUUACUAUAUCCUUCUUCUUUGUAUUUGGAUUUAUUACGAGGGUCUUUCAGAAACAAAAUAUCUACUUCCACGAAGUAGUGAUAAAAUCUAUGUACAUUCUAUCCUCUCCAGACAACACUUAUGGGUUUAAUCAUCGGAUAUGUAGUUGUUGCUGAUGAAUAACUUGUGUGAUUAUAAAUUAUUUUAUUAAUACAAAAUUAUAUCAUUUAAAAUAUAAAAUUGCGUCAUUUUCUUUUGGACGAAAACUAAAAAUGAUAAAAGUGUGAUUGAGUACUAGAUUAUUACUUUAUUCGGUCCCAAAUAUUACUAGUUGUUUUGGACUUUUAGCAAAAGAUAAAUUUGUUCUAAAAUCUCUAAAAGAUUUUUUUUUCUUACAAAAAAUCACUACUAUAACUUCAAUAAGUGAAGUAUUAGUUAAAUUAAUGAGAAAUAUUAUACGGAUAGAAGAUAAUAAAUGCAUUAAGAAUUUUUGACAGAAAUAAUCCAUUAUGUAAAAUAUUUUAUCAAAAUAAUACAUUUUUCUGAAAUUUUACCAAAAUAGAUUAAAUGUAUUUGUCAGUAACGUUUUAUAAAUUAUUAUAUUAAAAAAUUUCAACGGACAAAAUUAACGGUAGACAGAUUUUAACAGAAGCAUAAAACGUUACCAUGAGUAACAAUUUAAUCUUAAAACGUUAUCACGAGGUAACGAUUUUCUGGUACAACCAUGAGUUUAAUCAAUCUCUCAGAUAAAUCUUCAUUCAUCUCCUCUUUCCUUCAUCCUAAUUCUACAGCACCAUCGCAUCUUUUCAGUUUUACCGAAAAAGUUCAAAAAUUCAUUUUUCAUAAUAUCAUAAUAAUAUUUGAAUCUCAUGUUUUCAAAUUCAAUACCUAUUUACAGCAAAACACAUUUUCAAAAUUAACACGACCUCAAAUUUCAACAACAUUCAACCAAAAAUGUAAUACCAACAUUUAAAAUAAAAACCAAAAAAUAAAUUGUAUUACACAGUAAAUCAAAAUUGCAAAUUACAAAAUUUUGAUUAUAUGUUCACAAUCAGCAAUUGCAAAAUUUAAAAUACAAUAGAAUAGAAAAAAAAAUUAAAUCACGAAACUCUAAUCGGAGUUGGACAUUUUCGAAAAGUCUCAACAUCAAUUUGAUAAUAUACAAAAAAAAAGAAAAAAAAGAAAGAAAGAAAGAAUAGAUUUAAACCUUGCACUAAUAAGUUAAUAACUCAUGAGAAAGGGGAUCACUCUUUAAGGAAAUUCUUAAAUUACAUCAAUUUUUUCAGUUGUUUCUUGGAUUCGUUGCAAGUAUGUAAGUUGCAACUGAAAUUUGAGAAAUUGAAAUAAUCUCAGUUUUCAAACAACAAGAUCUCACUCAAAUUAAGAUUUUUGAUGUUUCACAGAUGGUGAAAUUGGAAAUGAAGAAUCGCCAAAAUGGCAUUUUUCCUGUCACAGUCCAUAAAACUUAUUCCCCUGUUGCCUCCCCAAGAUUGAAAGGACACUUGUCUUUUUAUCGUUAAUUAAAACGUUACUCCGAAAUAUGUACUAUCUCAUGUCGUAACUGUUGAUCACAAAAUACUUCUUUAAUGCCGUUUAUAAUUAAAUAUUGUUUGCUUAUUCUUUAAAAUAAUUUUUUUAUAAAACCUUACUCAAAAGUACGUUUAUUCUAUUUUGGUAAAAUUUCAAAAAAUUAUACUACUUUUAUUAAAUACUUUAAAUAAUGGGUUAGUUAAGUCAAAACUUCAUGCAUUAAAGAAAUGGAUCUACCUAUCAUCGGAAACAUCUAAUUUAUUUGUUACUUUUGUUUUGUCCGUUACACAAAAGUUUUCUCUAAAGUUACAAUUUGCAACUUUUUUACUUUUAAAUUAAGAAUUGUUUAGAUACUACUAAUGGGACACUCUCAGCGAUCGUUUGGUAGGGUGUAAUAAAUUAAUAUAUAAAAUAAUUUCACAUAUAUAUAUAUAUAUAUAUUUGAUGUGUGUUACUUGAGUCAAGGAUCUCUUAAAUAUAUCUUUUUUAUCUCUCUAAAAUGAGUAAAAUUUGUGUAAUCUUUUUUAAACUUUGUUUAUAAAAUUACAUUGUUAAAGUUUUGUAUAGAUAAUGCAUAUAAAAAACUUAAAUCUAUAAAAAGAAAGUGGAUUAUUUCUCUUUGUUUACCUUGGUUUUGAUGACUCAUUUUGAAACAUAAUAUAAUGUGCAUUAUUACUAGUUUAUAUACCUAAUGUAUGUGGGAGGUGAUUUUAUGUCGAUUUAAAUAUUGGAUAAGGAGAAUACUAAUGUCUAUGAAGUUUUAAAAAAUAUAUUUUUUGGUUAUAUAAAAUAUUAUUUGUAAAUCAAUGUCGGCCACAUUCUUCUGUAUAGUCAAAUUACGCUGCUCUUUUUAAAAAUGUAUAUUACUAUUGGUGUCUUCUAGGAAUAUAAAUUUACUACUUUAAUUUAUUUAUAAUAAAAUAAUAACAAUGCAAUGUAAGUAUGAACCAUGCAGCGCAGCAUCCAAAAUCCACUACUAAUUAAUUAAUAAAUAAAUCACAUUGCCCUUUCUGUUCUUUCAAGAAAAUUAAUCAAGUUUAAAUUAUUGUCAUCUACAAUAUAAUGUCAUCAUGUAUUUAAGAAAAUAAUUUUUUAUUCGAACUCUAAUUUCACGGGUGGUACUACUAGCUUGCUUGUAUAACAACACAAGAGCACUCCUUCCUAUACUCCUCAUAGGUGUACCGUUAACUAUACCUAAUUUUUGUCAAUUUCUCAAAAUAGAUAUACAUAUAUAUACAUGAUUUUUUCUGAAGUUAAUGGGUGCAUGUGCAUCCCCUUGUAUGACUUUGGGUCUACCUCCGCUUAUAUGAUCGAGUAACACAUCCAAAUCUAUUAAAAUUAUAUUGGAGUGAUAAACACUCCUUCAUUCUUAAUCAGAGGUUCGAGUUGCUCUGAAUAUAGUUCCCUUUGUCCAAUGUUAGUUAAAAGAAUUUAUUUUUGAUUGAUAGUUUAUUAUGUAUAAAAUUCUAAAUCAUUUUCAAACAUUAAUACACUAAUAAAAAAUUAGUAAUUUAUUAGUACUUUUUAAAUUUUAAUGGAGAAAAAAAUAAACUAAAAAAGGGGCCACUUAUGACUUAUGAGAUACGGCGUUAUAACUCAACUUGUAUAGUUGCAUGAAUCAUCACUUCACAACAACUGGUAGCACCGUCUUUUUCUUCCUUUUUUUUCUCGAUGUUCGUUAUUUAUAUUAAAACUACACAAUCAUUUUAGAUAUAAUAUUUUUUAAUAUAAUUUGAAAUUGAUAAAUCAGUUUCACUACUGCAUCACAAUGGUACAACAGGCAGCAUUGUCACUCACCAGCUGAGAAUAUAAUUAGCUGGAUUUGCACCAUCCAAAAUCUGUCUUCCAUGAAUAUACUUUUUAAUACAAUAAUUACUCCAUAAUCUUCCCCAAUUUUCUACCUUUUCACACACACAGAAACUUUUUCUCCCCUUAGAUUUUUCUCCCUCUGCUUUCUGUCACUCUCUUGGUUUCUUCUCUUUCCUCUCUUCAAAUUUCUGUCUUUUUUCCUCACUGUAAACACAGACAACUCCCCCGCCCCUAUGCUUUCAGCAAUUUGUCUUCUAUUACCAUUUCUCAUUUGACCAAAUUCCAAAAAAGGAAUCUUGCUGAACAUUCACAAAGAACAGAGCAGAUUGAUUAUUCACAAAAAAAAUUAAAUAAUGUAAGCUAAAUAAAAUAAAAUAUAUGCUCAAUAGUAAGGAACUUCUUCUUGAUUCUUGAUUCAGUACAAAAAGUGUUUCUUAAAGUUCUCAUCUUUUUUUUCUAAAGAAAGAAUCUGUUAACGAUGGUGGUUUCCUUUUUCUUCAUUUUCUUCCUCUGUUUUUCACCUCAGUACUAUUACUUAUCAUUUGCCACCACCGCCGCCGCCGUCUUCUCCGGAAACAACCGCCGUGUUCUCCAUGAACCCUUUUUCCCAUUAGACUCACCACCACCAUCUUCUCAACCACCCAUACCUUCUCCUCCAGCCCCUACAGAGUACCCAUUUCAAGGCUCUACUACUACUCCUGAUAACAGUGAUAAUAACCCCUUUUUCCCUACUUACCCUUCUCCUCCACUUCCCCCUGAUUCACCUGCUGAUUUUGUUCCUGCAAAUGUUUCUUCUAUUAUCCUUCCAAAUACCUCCAAAUCUAACCCUGUUUCAAAUAAACUUAUUGUCACUGCUAUUAUCUCUGUUCUUGCUGCUGUCAUUGUUCUAUCUAUUGCUAUCUUUUUACAUAUACGAAAGCGAAGGAAACAGAGUGACCGGAAAACUCAAAGAUCUGAUAGUAAUAGCAAUGGGUUGAGUCGGGAUGGUGCUAGGAGUGAUGGUAAUAAUGGUGUUCCUAAGCUUCAAAGACCGUCUCAAACUAGUUCGGAGUUUCUCUAUUUGGGUACUCUUGCUAGCUCACAUGGCGGAGUUGAAACACAUAAUGCUCAGAAUCGUAAUGGUAGUAACACUAGCUCUACUCCUUCUUCGAGAAAAAUGGACUCGCCGGAGCUCCGUCCAUUGCCGCCGUUGCAUGGACGGAAUUUGAGACAGAGUUAUGGGAAUACCAGGUUUUUCUCCGGUACUGCUGAAAAUGAUGUAGAUUUUUACUCUUCUGCGGGAUCUAUGGGUGGUAGAGAGAGUUCAAUCGGAGGUGACUCACUGUCCCGGAGAGAUUUUUCUGCUGUUGAAGUUGAGAAAUUUGUUGGCUGUAGCUCAUCUUCUUCGAGUUCGUCCUCGAGUUCCGGGUCCGGUUCGCCGGUCCGGUCUGUAUCGCUGAGCAUUUCGCCGCCGGCGAGUUUGAGUCCGGAAAGGAAAAGUGUAAGACCCAAGUCACCGGAACUGGUCGCUGUUGACACCGCUCCACCACCUCAGUAUCCACCUCCUCCUCCACCGCCACCGGCGACUAUUGUGCCACCAUUUGCAGAAUCUCCAUCUCCAUCACCAUCACCUCCAUGCCCAUUAUCACCAGAGAGAUAUUCAACCAGAAGUAUGGACUCAUCUCCGGGAAUUUUCAAUCUUUUGGAUCAGGAUGUUCAGUUUCCGGCGAGAAUCAGAAAUCACAUUCAGCAAGCCACACCAGCUUUUGGACCACCACCGCCACGUCCGCCACCACCUCCACCACCUCGGUCUAAGAAUAUGGAAAGCCCCAAAACACCCUCACCUCCAUUUUCAAAGCCAGCAUUUAACCCUCCAGUUCUUGAAUCUCCUUUAAAACCCAUAGGAAUUGAGAGUCCAGUAUUGGUUUCUCCAAUGGAGUUGCCUUCUAUUUCGGAACAUAUUGAGAAGAAUGAUGAGAAAACUGAGGAACCCAAACCAAAGCUGAAAACUUUGCAUUGGGAUAAAGUGAGAGCAAGUUCGGAUCGCGAAAUGGUUUGGGAUCAACUGAAAUCAAGCUCAUUUAAGUAUGAUAAUCUGUAACUAUUGCCUUUUGUUUGUAUAAGUUGAAUAGAGCUGAUACUGAUUUAUUUGCAGGUUGAAUGAAGAGAUGAUAGAAACACUGUUUGUUGUAAAGACUCCAACUUUGAAUGCAAAUGACACAGCUAGACGUCUUGUUCCCUCACCGAGCCAAGAGAAUAGGGUACUUGAUCCAAAGAAGGCACAGAACAUUGCAAUUUUGCUGAGGGCCAUAAAUGUAACCACAGAGGAAAUAUGUGAAGCCCUUUUAGAAGGUAUUCGCAGUUCUUUGAAGAGUUUAACUUAAAUACAUCGAUAUUUAUGCUAUUAGGCUGACGUAAAAGAUAACUACGGUAAUCAUUGGGAUUUGUAGGCUGGAAAAUAAGAAAGGUUACCUAGUACAGUGGGUUAAAAUGCUUGGUAUUGUAGGAAUUCUUUACAUUUGGUGGUUUAUAUAAGUUAAAUCUCUCUCUGAAUUGAAAAUUAAGAGCUGAAAAAUGGAAUGAUGGAAGUGUCUGUUAGUAUUGAUCGAGGCAAAAUCAUGUAGUUUAUCGUGCUAAAAGUUAUGCUCCUUUGCUCCCAAGAAUUUCAGUACAUGGAUUUUGAAAUCAUGUAAAAAGUUUACCUUCACUCAAUGUUCUUUGUUGGUUUCAUCAAUAGGCAGAAGUUCAAGUGUAUGUAGAAGUUGUAAAGUGUUUGGAUUUAGGAGAAUAGACAGCAGUAACAAGUUACAUCUUCUAUUCAGGAAAUGCUGAAACUAUUGGAACUGAGCUCCUUGAGAUUUUAUUGAAGAUGGCUCCAUCCAAAGAGGAAGAACGUAAACUAAAAGAAUACAAAGAUGAUUCUCCGGUCAAGCUCGGACCAGCAGAGAAGUUUCUGAAAGCAGUGCUUGAUGUACCUUUUGCAUUCAAAAGGGUAGACGCUAUGCUGUAUAUAUCAAAUUUUGAUUAUGAGGUCGACUACCUCAGAAAGUCAUUUGAAACUCUAGAGGUAACUAUUUUAAGUCAUCGUCAACUCCUACUUGUUAUUGAUGAUCCAUUCACUAAAAAAGAAUUUUGAUUUAGAUCAGAAGUAAACUUGUGAAUUAUGUCUUUAAAAUGCUUUCCUACUACAGGCAGCAUGUGAAGAGUUGAGAAGUAGCAGAAUGUUCUUAAAGCUUCUGGAAGCCGUGUUGAAGACGGGUAACCGCAUGAAUGUUGGGACAAACAGGGGAGAUGCUCAUGCCUUCAAACUUGACACACUGCUAAAGCUUGUAGAUGUAAAGGGAGCAGAUGGGAAAACAACCCUUUUGCAUUUUGUGGUUCAGGAGAUUAUAAAAGGUGAAGGUACUCGUCUUUCCGGAGGAGAUCAGAACGAACAGUGUACCACUAAUGAUGACGCUAAGUACCGGAAACUUGGCCUUCAAGUUGUUUCCAACAUUACUUCAGAGCUUAUACAUGUUAAAAAUGCUGCUGCUAUGGAUUCAGAAGUGCUCCACAGCGAUGUUUUAAAGCUUUCUAAGGGGAUUGGAAACAUUACUGAGGUUGCAGGAUACAUUGAAGCCGUUGGAUCAGAGGAAAGCAGUACUAAAAAAUUCUCUGAGUCCAUGAACAGGUUUAUGGAAAUAGCAGAAGAGAAGAUCAUAAGGCUCCAAGCUCAAGAAGCAUUGGCCAUGUCACUGGUGAAGGAAAUAACCGAGUAUUUCCAUGGAGAUUCAGCUAGAGAAGAGGCUCACCCUUUCAGAACCUUCAUGGUGGUCAAAGACUUCCUAAUGAUUCUUGAUCGCGUUUGCAAGGAAGUUGGAAUGAUAAAUGAGAGAACAGUAGUUAGCUCCGCGCAUAAAUUUCCAGUUCCUGUUAAUCCAAAUCUACAACCUGUCACUAGCAGUUACACAGCUAAACGGCAGCAUAGUUCCUCUGAUGAUGAAUAUUUAUCUUCUUAGUAGUGUUAGUUGGUCAUAACAGGCAACUCCCUAGUUUUUUGCUUCUGGCCAAAACCAAUGUAAUCUACUAUAAAGGCCUUAUAGGAGUUUGCCUGAGACUGUACCACGAAUUUUCGAGUAUAAGUAACUCUAAGUUGUAUUUAUUAGAUCAUUUUGUAUAAGAUCUUGGAAAUUCUUUAUCCUUUUCAUAUAUAUAUAGCAAGAUUUAUCAUCACAUCCAAAAUAAUAGGAAGGUUCAAACCUACAUUGAUGGAUACAAUAACAACAUACACGAGGUCUGGGAGGGUAGAGUGUAUGCGGAUAUUAUAGAGAGGCUCAAGUAUUCUUUGUACUAAUCUAACUAUAUGGAAUAUAAAAUACAAAGUCUUCAAAUGUUUGGAACAUUUUACAGUCAGCUUUGAGUGAUGGAUUUUUUCCAACUUUGCAUUUUAUAAUUACUGGAAGAUGAGACUACACUGUUCAAGCAGUAAAUCUGAAAAGAGGAAAAAUACUGACUAACACCAAUCUGUAGAAAUCUCUUCACCAUUAAAAAUACAGAAAAAGAAGCACAAAUUACAUAGUUGGGUAGCUAUGAAUAAGGGACUUACAGUAGAAAUAGAAUGAUAUUAUAUAGAUAGUGAACCGUGGUAUUUGUACAGGAUAGAAAAUGAUCUAGUAAUUAUUGUAUCUUACUCGACCAUUAUCGAAGGGCUUCAUUUACUUAUUGAGCAACAAUGAGCUCGUCCAUUUGGAAUCCGCUAUCACUCUCAGGCAUCAUAAUGUCAUCAUCAGUUGUGAAAUGAUAUCGUUCUCCGAUGGCUCUCAGAAGCUGGUACAGUUCAAACAUUGUUGGCCUCUCCUUAGGAGCAGCAGCCAACACACAUCGACAAGCAACUUUAAGGACCUGGAAGAUCUCACUGUCAUAACCUUUACUAGACAAUGAAUGGUCAAUCGCAUCUUGAAGUUUAGAUUCACCAGAGAGUUGUGUGAUCCAUUCCACCAAAUUCCCCUUAAAGGUCUCGGGAGCUUUGGCGACAGAAGUUGGUGUCUCACCUGUAACUAACUCGAGAAGUACAACACCGAAACUGUACACAUCACCUUUUGGUGUAGCCAUGAGAGUUCGCGCGUACUCAGGUGCAACAUAACCAAAGUCCCCGAAUUCCCCAUUUACAAAGGUACUCAAAUGAGUGUCAACUGGAUUCAUGAGCCUAGCAAGUCCAAAAUCCGAUAUUUUAGGUUCAUAUUCCACAUCCAGCAAGAUGCAUUUAGAACUAAUAUUUCUGUGGAUGAUACGAGGAUUGCAGUUGUGGUGAAGCCAUGCAAAUCCUUUGGCUGCUCCAAUAGCGAUUUUCAUUCUCAUAGGCCACUCAAGAGUUUUUUCCCCUUCACUCACCGAAUGCAACCUAUCAUGCAAGGUGCCAUUUGGCAUAUCUUUGUAGACCAACAGCCUUUCUUUUUUCGCCAUGCAGAAACCUAAAAGAGGCACCAGGUUACGGUGCUUUACAUUUCCCAACGUAGCCAUCUCGGAUGUAAACUCUUUCUCUGAGUGUUGAGUAUUCUGCAACCUCUUAACCAUAAGUGAAGUGCCAUCAUCAAGUACUGCUUUGUAGAAUGUCCCGGUUCUUCCUGACCCAACAAUAUUGUUCUUGCUGAAGUUGUUGGUGGCCUUCAUGAGAUCACUUAGUCUCAUUUUUGAAGUAGAUUUCUCAAACAUUGAAAGCUGAAAAUAAGGCACUUUAAGUCAAUUAAGAAUGCUUGAGCAAGAGAAAACUCACACGAGCUUAUGGUGAAAAAUUCAUUAGUUAAAUGCUUAUAUUAAAACACGAAUUUAUGGUUCUAAAUAUGAUCGCAAUGCCACAGUAGAACCCGUAAACACAAACCACAACCCACUAGAAUUGAUUUAUGACCUAUCAACAAAGCACGAACAGAAUUCUCACCUGGAUUGCCUUGGAACCCUUGAUACUCUUCGCCCAUUUAUUCCCUUCAGGAUCAUCUUCCUUUUUCCUCUUCCUGGAUAUCUUUCUCAUAUAGAAGAACAUACCGAUGGUCAAUAAUACAGCGCCUAAAGUCACCCCACCAACAGCAGCACCGACAAUGAUUCCAGUAGGGGAUUUCUUAGCAUAACCCUCACAAAGAGCUAAUGGUGGUCCACACAGUCCGGCAUUAUUGGCAUAGCUCUCUGGGGGAAAAGUUGAAUUUAUGAAACGUGGAACUGGUCCAGUCAAUCGAUUGUUUGCUACAUUAAAAUUCUUGAGCCGACCAAGCAGGGCAAUUUCUGGAGGAAUUUGACCCGUAAACUGGUUGUUGUCAAGUCUAAGGCUAUUCAAAAAAGAGCAGUUUGCAAGAUUAACUGGGAUAUCCCCUGAUAGAUUGUUGGAUGAGAGAUCCAGCGUUACCAUAAAACCUAUAAUUUUGGAGAUAUCAUUUGGAAUACUUCCAUGGAGUUUGUUGCUCGAAAGAUCUAAUGAUGUAAUAGAGGUGCAAUUCUUAAGACCACGUGGAAACUUGCCCUUGAGACCCAUGUCAGGAAGACUGAUACUCAGAACCCUGGUUUCAUCAGGAUGCCAGCACUGAAUCCCAGCAAACUUGCAGAUGAAACCUUCGGUCUGAUUAUCGAACUUCCAUGUUGUGUUCAAGAACUUCAAUGGAUCUUCAAAUGAAUCUUUUAUAGAUUUCAGACAGUCAAUGUCGCUUUGAAGAGCAGAGCAAACAGCACAGCUCAAGACCAAGUAGAUCAAAAUAGCAGCAAAGGUAGUAAGAGCUCUGUUAUCCAAAGCCAUCUUGGUGAGAGGCCCAGUCAUAACCGCAACAAUCGAAGGUCCUAAUUAAGUAGUUGACUGAAACAUUUAAGAUCUCUAUAGACUAGUUUGCAACCCCGAAAAAUCCAUUGCAAGAACAAAUCCAAUUUCUCCCGAGUUAAGAAGCAAAAUGUAAGGCUGCAAGAAAAAAAUAAGAUGAUGAAUCAGUUUUAUCAAUCAGUCAAUGCUGCCUCACUUCCAAACUAGUAAAAAAAAAACUAUAUGAAUCUACGUUUCAUCCGCUCUAUUCGGACUCAUUUCAUAUCAACAUUAGAUAACUUUUCUUCUUAAGCGAACUAGUGAUUCUCCAGAAGUAGAGGUACUCAAAUCCCACAGUUACAGGACAACCAAAAUAAAGAUUGAAGGACAAGUCAGAUACAAGCAGAAAACUGUUCCUCACAGAUUUUAAUGGGAAAAACGGCAAACAAGGAAGCAAAAGAGACUUGGGAAGAGAAAAAAGCACAAUAACAGCAAUCCAAGAGAUGCACUUCCAUAAAACUAUCGUCAACAAAAGUAAAACUUCAUUCAAAAGAUGAUUUCACCUUAUCAUCUACAUUGACAACCAUAAAAGUUCACGCCUUUUACGUGGAAGUUGAAAAAAAAGAACACCCCUACUUGAUAUAAACAAAACACACGAUGGAAGUUGGUUUUAUCUGAACUUACAAAGCCACAAGCACAAACUUCACACCUCCAAGAAGGAAGCUGAUAAAAGCCCCCUUACUUGAUAUACAGGGAAUCCCAACAAGCAAGUCUAAUAGAACCCAGAAAAGGUUCUGAAAAUCAAACAACAAGAGAGCAAAUUCCUAUCCCAAAAAAAAUUAAUUGAAGUUGAGAGCUUUUUGACCAUGACCUUCAAAUUUUCAACAAAUAAUAAACCACUGUCCUUGUUCAAAGUACUCAAGAAGGCAGCCAAUGUAUUAAAGAAAUGGUUAGUAAUAAUUAGUUAAUCACUAAGGUCAACAACAACAACAACAACGGCAACAACAAACCUAGUGUAAUCCCACAGGUCGGGUCUAGGGAGGGUACUGCACAAACCUUACCCCUACCUUGAGAUGGUAGAGAGAUUGUUUCCGAGAUACAGAAUUUACUUGAUCUUCCACAUCCACAAGCACAAAAGUUCAGACCUUCAAAAGGAAAGUUCAAAAAAGAAAAAAGACCUCUACUUGAUAUAAGACACAAACCCCAUCUCACACAAUCCACAAAACCCAAAAAGGGUUCUUAAGAUCAAACAACAAAAGGCCAAAUUCAACUUCAAUUUCCAGAAAUACAAGUCCAGAGCUUUUCUAUGCAACUUUCAAAAUUAAACAAAUUUACAAAGUCCAUAUUCAAAGCAGCUACCAACACAAUUAAAAAAAAAUCAAUCUUUUUAUAGCAACUAGGCAAAAAUACCAAAAAAACUUCAAUUUCCAUAAAUUAAGUCCAGACCCUUUCUACACAACUUUCAAAAUUCAACAAAUUACCAAGUCCUUAGUCAAAGGCAAGCAACAACAUAAUAAAGAAACAAUUUUUAAUAAGAAAUUCUACCAAUAAACAAAUUGAGCAUAAAAAAUACCAAAAGAAGACCAAGAAAUUAUAGAUGCAAGAUACUUACAGCCCAGUUGAGGAUAUCAAAUGCUGGAUCUUGAUGGUCAAUUACAAAGAAGAAAAGGGGCAAAAAAAGAGAGUAUUUUUUUGAUGAUACAGUUUUUCUUUGGUCAAAGAAAGAAGGCUAACAGUGAGAACUAAAACUGAAAACUUGCAAAGAAAUUGAAAAAAAGAAAAAGAGUGUUAAACGGGGACAGGCGACGACCAGUUGCUUGACUUGAUAUUUCAUUUGUUAUUGGAAAAGUUUUUAGCUAGUGUGAAACCCAUCAUUAUUCUUUGAACCAAAAUAUAAUUCACUGAAAUACUGAAAUGGAUCACAUGAAUUGUGGUGCAUUGGUGAGAUUAUUUUAUUUUAAUUAGAACUUUUACAUUCGAGAUUUAAAUAUGAAGAAAAUCUUGUUAGGAGCAUCUUUUCGAAUGAAUCUUGCCGGGUAUUAAAAUUUCAAUAUAAACUUUCGACCCGCUAUAAUUUUUUUUUUUAAAAAGCAAGUACUGAAAUGAAAAUAUUGAAAGUGAAGAAAAAAACUUUAGAUGACUUGUGACUUUUAGACUCUUUUUUCCCCUUUUCACACCUCAAGCUAAUUGAUCGAGUUUACCUGACACAUUUUCUUUUUCAAUUUAUCUUAAGAUAAAAUAUUAUUGUGUUCGUUUUAGUUUGUUUGUUUUGUUUAAAUUCGACAUAAAUUUUAAGAUAGUUAGAAACUUUUUGAAUUUUAUCAUCUUAAAUUAAAAAAAAUAUGUUAAAUAUAUCAAAAAAAUAAUUUUAUGAUAUUAAACAUGUCACCUAGAAUGUUGAAAUUAAAGAGCUAAUAAAAAUAUAAUAAUUAUACUUUCUUUUUUAAAUGAACUAAAAAGAUAAGUAUGAUAAACAAAUUGAAAUGAUUCUAUAAUUGGAAAAUUUUAACUUUAUUAUUUUAUCUUAAUAAAAUGAUGAAUAAUAAUACAAAUAUGCAUUUUUUAUUUUAAUCAAUAAUUUUUUAAAUAAAAACUAUCUUGUUUAAACUUUGUAUUAAGUCGAUUAUAUAAAUUGAACUGAGGGAUUAUACACUUUUUUUGGUCCAUUCUCCAUUAUUUUGUUUCUUCGAUUGUUCUAUUUUUAUUUUUAUUUUUGUUUAUUUUAGUGACAUUCAUUUUUCUUCUGAGAUUCAUAAUGAAGAAAAACAUUAUUAAAGGGUCAAACACUGUAAUUAAAAAGCUUUAAAAUUUGCCCCCUUUUUCAGAUUAACAUUUGCAAUGAAAUGUUUAAAAUAUUCCCACUUAGAUUGAUCAAACUAUUACAAGUGAAGUUUCUAUCCUACAUUUUAUAUACAUAUAUAGGAGUCAAUGACUAAUAUAUUCAGAUGAGACGAUUUAGAAUGAUGACAAUUAUAAUUCAAGAAUGAGCUUUGAUUCAAUAGUCUUACGCAAUCUAAACACGCAUACAUUAAGUGAGAAAAAAAAUAGAGAUAAAAAGAUGAAUAGUUAUUAAAAAACCUUUAAUACGCUUCAUAUUUAAAUAAAAACAUUUGAGCAAAUACAAAAUUUAAAUAUUUAUCUAUAAAAAGUAUAAAUUAAUAGUAACAACGUAAAAUCGUUUAUUAUUUUCAUUAGGGCAGUGGAAAUAAAUAGAUAAUGAAGUAAUUAAUACAUGCUGUGUUGCACGAGUAAGACGGAAAGUUUGAUCCAAACCUAUAAUCAACUUUGAAAAUAGAUGAUUUGCUCUUAACAUGUUUUUCUCACUAUAAUUAAUGGAAUGACCUUCAAAUGCGGACAAAAAUAAUAAAUAAACCAUAUAUUUUAUCAUAAUAUUUGUAUUAACUGGUGUUUACUAGUUUUUAAUGAACUUGAAAAAUAAUAAUUCGAAUGAGUAGUUAUCAAAAAUUCUCAUGGAUCAUUUUAGGUUAUAUAUCAACAUAAUUUUUAAAAUAAGUUGAAUCAAACGAAUCAAAAUAAAUUGAAUUAAUAAAAUAAAUGAGUCAUUAAUCUGGUGAAACCAAACGAAUCGAACAAAUCAUAAUUUGAUUUAGCCAUCCAAAUUUUUUUUUUGCACGAAUUAAAAUAUAUUAUUGAGAAUAAGUUAAAAGCACCUAAAAGACUAAAGCAAACAAUUUUGAAAUAGUAAUGAUUCGUUAAUUUGCUAACAUGGGAUUUUUUUUCUUAAAGUAGAUCAAUCUUUAACUUUAAAAAAGGGUUUGAUUUUGCAGUGAAUAGAUAGGAACAUUUAAUCAAAUCUCGGUUUUAUUUUCACAAUUAUUGAAAUUAAGCUAUAGUUGACCUUUCCACAAAUCAAAUUGCACAUUUAUGAACCAAACAAAAAAUAAAUAAAUAGAUUUUUAAUUAUAAAUUAUUUUAAUUCACAACUAUAUUAUCAGUGGCAAUGAAUGCGAGGCUCCACAAUUGGGCUGUUUAAGAUCGUAGAUACCUUUAGAACAUGUUAACGAACAUUCAAAAUAAUUCGAAGCUAAUUAAUAAUCUGUUCAAUCAAAUUUUUAGUAUUUAAAAACGUUCUUUUUAAUUUAUUUUUUUGAUGAGAAGUAAUUAUAUUUGGUCAAUAAAUUUUAAAUAUAUAUUUGAAUUGGUAUUUGACCAACCUUUUAAAAAAUUGUUUCUAGUAUAGUUUUCUCAAAAAGUAUUUUAUAAGAAAAAUAUUUUUAGGAAAACAUUAAGAGCUCUCACAUUUUUUAACCGUUGAUAAUCAAACUUUCAAUCUUAAGACUGGAAUGUUAUAUUAUAUGAUCAGGACCAAGAACAUCUUUUUUUCGUUUGCUAAAGUUUGGUGGAUAGGAUUAUACAUUAUUUGUGCAUGUGAGAGUUAGUUAAAAUAUAUAGCAAAUGAAUAGUGGAAGCCUAUGUAAAUUAAUGUAGUAUAAAAAAUUAUGUGACACUAAUUAACUUUUAACGGUUAAAUUUUUAGUUUUGAUUAUAGAUAUGUAUAUGAAACUCAAAAAAGAGUGAAAUAAAAGUUACCUAUUUGAAGUAACAAUAACAACAUAUCUAAUGUACUUUUGAAAAGGAUAGACAGUAGGCGAAUUUUGCCAAUUACCCCUAUUGAUAUAGGUAAAGAGAUUAUUUUUGAUAGAUCCUAAAAUGUCUAAUGCAGUUAAAAAAAAGGUAACAAACGUAAAAAUAUAAUAAAAUAUUUUGAACUGUAAUUACACACAAUAAAAUAAUAUAAAAAUCAGAGUAAAAGAAACAAUCAAUAGUAGCAUAAACAGAAGGACAAAAAAUAACAAAAGUAAUAUUAUGACCACUAGUAUGAACGAACAACGAUACAACACAUUACUACAUACUAACCUCUAUCCUAAUCUGUGUCCUUCACGGUCUCUUAUCUAAGGUCUUGUUACCGAUAGGCUGAAAUCGAGGGCCUGUUUUGCCACAAAUAUAUUUGAGAACUAGUGUUUGGUCAUAUAAUUUGACAUUGCUUGACCAGGGUCGUAUACAGGAGGGGGUAACCGGGUUCACGUGAACCCAUGGUCCCCUCCUGAAAUCAUAUAUAGUAGUGUUAUAUUUUUAAAACAUAAUUAAAUAUAGAUGCGUGAACCCAGACUCGAAGUAUCAUAUAAUGUAGUACGAUGAUAAUUGGGUGCACCUCUCUAGGUGAGGUUAGAAAUUUGAAUCUUUUAUCUAUCUUGUUUUAGUUUUCUUUCUAAGAUUUUGUAUAUGGUUUGGAUAAAUAAAAGUUAAUUUUGGACCUAUGAUUUUAAAAUUUUAAUGCUUUUCAGUAAAAAGAAUCUAACCGAUCAAAUUUAUGUCUUAGAUCCACCUUUUUGUAAUAGUGCACCCAUUAUCUAUAAAUCCUGAAUACGCCUCUGUGCUUGACAAAUAUAUUUGGCAAACAUCUCAAGUUUCAUAGAGUAGAAAGGAGGAUCAUAGAACGAAUAAAUGGUGGAGACAAGGGGUGACGUAUAUUCAUGAUGCAUUUUCUUUUCUUCAUCCGCUCUACUUCCCCAAACAUAAUUAUAGUUUUUGAGCCAAAUUUUAUUUUUUUUAAAAAUUGCCUCAAUUUUUUAUAUUUUAUAAAAAAACACCCAUUAUUUAUGAUUUUUGACUAAAUUUCAUUCAUGGUUUGUUGUACAAAAUUUAUACUAAUAUGUACAUAUUAUAUACAAUUUUAUCCGAACUUGCUUUUUGAAGUCAUUUUCCGUUGGUGUAAUAUAUCACAAAUACAAUAAAUUACAGUUGAAAAUAAAAUGAACAAAAGUGAAUAAACCAAUCAUUUAGGUUGAGGUGCAAAUAUCUCGUUCUCUAUAAGGAAACAAGUCUACUAUAGUAUAAUUUACAUUGAUCCAGUAAUAUCAAUCUUGACUUGGCCUUUCAGGAUACAACAAUCCAAUAUCAUCGCACAACUCAAACAACUCCAGGAUUUUGUUGAAGAUUCCAAAGCUCCACAAAAAAAAAACACAUUCCUUCAACAUAUAAUUACUCUCUUUUGUAUAGUGAAUACAGUUGAAGACUUGGAAUAUUUUCUUUGUCGCAACUCUCUCUUUCAUUACUACACACUAAAAUAUUAUUUCGCACUUCUCAUCUUUCUUGGGAUUAUAUCUUCUCUCCCCAAUACAAAGUAAGAUCACAUUAUUUAUAGGUGAUAAAUUCUUCUUUACAAUGAAUAUGAAGAUAAUGAGUAGUAAAUUGAGUCAACGAAUAACCCAAAUGUUACAUAAGUUACAAGGUAUAAUGAGAUAGAAUAAUUGGUGGAAUCAGUGGUAGAUCAUGACAAUAGUGAUUACAAGAGUUACAUCACUAAUAUGUCUUGUAAUCACUAUAAAGAGUUACAUUCUUGUCAAAUUAUACCCACUAAUAUAUGCACUUAAUAUUUUAAUUUUAAUAUCAAAAUGCUUAAAUACCAACACUUCCAAUUACAAGUAGUAACAAUAGUUUUUCAUAUAUAAAUCAAUGAUAUUUCCUUUUGUUUUCUUCCUUUUUUUUCAAAUUCAUACCAAUUAUGUUCGUUGUCAUAGCUUUCCAUGAAACAUUUUCAUUAUAAAAUGAUAAUACAAGCUUAUGACUAUUUUUAUUAAGUUUUAGAACUUAUAGGUAUAAAACAUAUAUUUUUUUGGGAAAAGGGUCAAAAAUAUCCUUCAACUUUGGUUUAUUGUUUGACUUUACCCUCGCUGUUAAAAUGAAGUUAAAUUUACCCUCGCCAUUACUAAUUUCACCAAAAGUACCCCUCAAAUGGAUGGAAAGCCCCAAAUCAACUAAAAUUACCCAAUUUUGAUUAAAAUGACCAGAUUUCUCUUACCCGACCCACGAAUUCAUACCAAAUUAAAACCCUAAAUCCAUUUCUCUAAUCUUCCUCUCCUUCCUCAGUUGAAACACCCUAUUAUCAGUUAACACCCAUAACUUAGAGGCAAAAAAGCUCAACUACAAUAUCAUUCUCCUUCUUCUCACAAGGUAAGUCAUUAUCUAUUGAGUUAAUUUCAUUUUAUUAUGCUAAUGGAUAUUUAACAAUGAUAGUUGCUAGCAUAUCACAUUAGCGGGAAAUUGAAAAUAAAUAAUUUGUAAUUUCGAUCGGUAAUUUUAGAGAAACUUUUGUGUUUUUUUUUUCAUUUCAGAAAUAGAGUUGAUUGAUCAAUGAUGAAGAUUGAGGUGGGAAAAUCGACAAUGGUGUAGCCGGUGACUGAGACGCCGCAACUAAGGUUGUGGAACUCUAUGGGAAAAACAACGAUGGUGUAGCCGGUGACAGAAACUCCGCAACUGAGGUUGUGGAACUCUAAUGUGGAUUUGGUGGUGCCUAAUUUCCACACACCAGUGUUUGUUUCUAUAGGCCAACAGGAUCCCUAAAUUUUUUGACCGAAAGGUGCUUAAGGAGGUAUUAAGCAAAUCCCUACUGCCGUUUUAUCCGAUGGGUGAGAGGCUGUGCAGGGACGAAGAUGGCCAUAUUGAGAUUGAUGGUAAAGGCCAAGGUGUGUUGUUUUGCAGAAGUUGAGUGAUGGUGUGGUGGAUGAUUUUGGUGAUUUUGCGCCGACGUUCGAGGCUUAUUCCGGUAGUUGAUGGAAUGGAAUCUUAUGCUCUCUUAGUGUAAUGGGUAAAAGAGAUUGGGUUUUAGGUUAGAGGGGUCGGGGCAUUGGUUUUAAAAUGGGGAAUGGGUCUUUUUUUAAAAUUCGGGUUAAUUUGGGUCAAUUUUGGGGAUUUCGUCUAAUGAGGGGUAAUUUUGGUGAAAAAACUAACAGGAGGAGUAAAUUUAACUUCAUUUUAACGGCGAGGGUAAAGUCAAACAAUAAACCAAAGUUGAGGGGUAUUUUUGACCCUUUUCCCUAUUUUUUUAAAAGUGAAAUAUUUCUAUGAAAUUCUAUGCCAAAUGCAUGUAAAAUUUUACCCAAAAAUGACUUGCUAAAAAUAUUUAAAAAUUUAUGGCCAACCGCUAGCUAGCUGAGUCAUGUCCUCAUCUAAUCACGAUACCACAUAAAUUGAGAUAGAAGAAAUAAAAAAAUAAAUUAAUUGGUGUUAUUUUUUAUUUUUUUAAAAAAAAGCUGUAAAGGAGGGAGUACUGUAGUAGAAAGCUCUUUAUUCAUUGUGGCUUGUGCGCUGUCUGCGUGAGUGAGUGGUCUCUGUCGGGUAGCUGUAUAAUAAAUUGUACUCUCCAUUUCACUUUCCUCUUUUUUCUCCCUCAAAUCCCUACACCCCUAACCCUCCCCAACCCAAAAUGGCCUGAAUUCUCCGGCGUGAUUUGCCGCCGACACCUCUUCUUCGCCUAUCGCCGCCUCCGCCGCCUCCGCCGAUCGUGUAAGUUCACUCUGAAAUUCUGUUUAAUUAGCUUUGUUGCCUUCGUUACUGUCACUCAGUACCUUCAGAUCAAGUGUUUAUCGUCUACAAUUAACUAGUAGAGUUUUACUUUUUAUCAGUAGUUGUGAAGUUUGCUUUUUUGAAUGCUCGUUGGAGCUGAGUUUUUUUUUGGAUUUUAGUAGUUGAUCUUUUUAUUUUGUCAGUGUAUUUUGUCGAUCGUCAGUAUAACUACUGGCGUUUACUUGAGCUUCAGUGAAAUUAUACUCCGUCUAUUGACGAGUAUGUUGCUGCCGGCUCUGUUUCGCCGGCUCUCUAAUUUUUUUUAUUUUUAUUAAUAAAUAAAUUAUUUGAGAAUUGAUGCAAGUAUUUUGUGUUUUUAUAUACUCGUAGCUCUUUUAGUAACGUGACAUUUUUUUUGAGAAAGUUAUAAAUUUUUUUUUUUGAGAAAAGUAACGUGACAUUUUGACAAUGCAUUCUAUGGAGUAUUAUUUUUCUACAUCUGUUGAUCCUGAAUUUCGAGUUACCUGUUGUUUCUACGGGUAAAUGGCACAUUUACGUUUACUUAGUAGUUGUUGGCCUAAUUUAGGAGUUUUACUGAAUUAGGACGUCAAAGAAAUGAUCAUUAUGUUUCUUCUCAUACCAAAUGGAUAGGAAAAAUAAUCAAAUGUGGCAAGAUUUACAGUGUUUGGCAUAGUUUUUGCUUUUCUACUGCAUGCAUGCCUUUAGUGAACAAGCAAUAAGAUUUUAAAAAAAAAUAUCAAGUACAAUGAGCUAAGUGAAUUAGUCUUUUAUGAUAACUUUGACAUGGUCAUAUAAGAUACAAAAGAGAUCACAACUUACUAGUAUUAUCAGUCGCAACUACGGGAUUGACCAGCUUAACCUUAACACAGUAUGUUAUAAUUCACUAAUCACUAUAUACAGAUUGAAAAUAAUGAGGUCCUGGGUUGCAAAGUCUUGCAAGUAAUCAAAAUUAAACCGCUUUCUGUUUUAAUCGCCAAAUACUCUCACCCCUUACCCCAAAAUAACUUUUUUCCCUCUCUGUUUUUGGGUCUGCCAUUUUCUCUCUUUUUGGCUAUAGGUGAAGAACCUGUAACUAUGAUCUAUUUUGGGUUCUCAGCAACUCUUUCAAAAAGAGUAGCAGGUAUUUUGUACUGGGAAAGGCUUUAUUAGCAUUGGUAAUGUGAAAUUAGUUUAGGAGCAUUUAUGACCAACUCUGACAUACUUUAUAAAAAGAGAAGUUGAAGGAUUAGAAGAAAAAUUUAGGUAUUCAGAUUCUUAAAACAAAUUUUAAUUAGGCUUGUCUUCGAACUAGUAGCUGUGUAAUAUGUAUGACCUCUUUCAAUAAUCUGUCUACAAAUAAUUAUGUAACAUCAUAAAUAUCUAACAUUAAAACUUCUGAAUUUUAUUUGACAAAGGUAUGAGCAUUUUGUUGCUUUAUCACAAUUAUCUCAAAAGCAUUUAUUGAAAUUUCAAUAGUUUAUCAGGGAAUUUCGCCAUGGAAGAUACACAAUCAGUUGCAACAUUGAUGGACUCCACAACAUCUAAGAUACAGCAACUACAGAAAGCAUUCGCUGAGUUGGAAAGUCACCGUGCUGUUACUCUCAACCUGCAGUGGAAGCAACUUGAAGAGCACUUUAAUGGGCUUCAGAAGUCCUUGAAGAGGCGUUUCACUGAACUGGAAGACCAAGAGAAGGAGUUUGAGACAAAAAUUGUUCAAUCUACAGAGAUAUUGGAGAAGCGUCAAGCAGCUGUUAUUGCUACAGAGCAAGCUUCUCUUCAGAGGCUCCAGGAGAAAAGAGAUGCAGCAGUUUCUGCCAUUUCAAUUGCUUUGGAGAAGCAUAGGAACCCUUGUUCUGUGGAACCAACUGUCAUUAAUUGUGAAGUUCAAGACGAGCCAUCUGUUCUGGAAGAGAAACCCGAUAAUGUAACAGAGAUUGGGCAUGUUACAGGGGAUACAUGGAAAUCUUUUCAGGAUGGUGUUGUGGAAGUUAAGUCUUAUCCAGAGCUAGUGAAUCUAUGCCGAAAUAUGGAUUCUGAAGGUCUGCACAAAUUCAUAUCAGACAACCGUAAAAACCUGGCAGCACUCAGGGAGGAGAUUCCAUUUGCUUUAAGAGCAUCAACCAAUCCUGCCUCUCUGGUUCUGGAUUCACUGAAUGGGUUUUACAACUCUGAUGUGUCUAUUUCUGAUGCUAAAAAAGAUGCUAAUCUUUUGGGACUGCGACGAACUUGUAUUAUGUUGCUGGAAUGCCUCAGUACUUUAUUGAACACCCUGGAUAUAGAUUCCAUUUUAAGUAUAAUAUCAGAAAAUAUAAGAGGACGUGCAAAAGCUAUUGCUGAAGAGUGGAAUCCGAAGUUGGAUGAACUUGACGUUGAUGCAAAUAAUGGAAAUUCUUUGGAGGCUCAUGCAUUCUUACAGCUACUUGCUACUUUUAGUAUUAGUUCCAACUUUAACCAGGAGAACUUAUCCAAGCUGAUACCCAUGGUUUCACGUCGUCGCCAAACAGCUGAUCUCUGUCGUUCCCUUGGAUUAUCUGACAGAAUGCCAGGUUGGUUUCCAUAACUUGUAGAAUUAACUGUUCAAGGUUUUUUUCUACAUUUUCUAUUUUUUACAAGUUCUUAAGGCCUCUUUAUUGUUUCUCCCCUUGAUUUUUCAAAGAGUAAUCUUAUGAUGGUUCAAAAAUAGUUAUAUCAUGGUAAAAAUUACAGAAUGCAGUGUUCUCAUCUAGCUUGUUGAAAGUCUUAAUUCAUUUGGAGUCUAGAUAUUUAAUAACUUAAUUUGAUACGAAUGGAGAACUUUAAAAAUAGGAAGUAACAUAUAAUGCUAGAACGAUAAAGCGAUUUGAAGCACAUAAGCAAAUUCACCAGACACUUGACUGCAAAGGAAUACAUCACAUCUUUGAUAUUUCCCUUUUUUUGUGCUUUUUACUUAUAUACAUUGACGGUGUAAAACAUUUUAAACUUGUUAGCUAGUUGCUUACCUUCUUUUCUAGGUUACUGAUCCAUACUUAAGUAUAAAUGGUUGCACAUAAUUGUUUUUUUAGAGAACUGACAUUGUGAAGAUACUUUACUUGUCAGUGCAGUCUUACUUAUCAAAAAAAUAAGCUAAAGCUUCAUUUCUCUUAUCUGCUUGAAUGGUUUGCUGCUUGCUCUAUACAGGUGUUAUUGAUGUGUUGAUAAACAAUGGAAGACAUAUAGAUGCUGUUAAUCUAGCUUUUGCAUUUGAGCUGACAGAGCAGUUUCCGCCUGUUUCUCUAUUGAAAUCCUACUUGAAUGAAGCUAGCAAAGCAUCUACACUUCUCAAUUCUGGAAAUGCAUCACCUACUGUGCAGGUUUGUUCCUUGUGCGUUGGUAUAAUUUGGACUUGACAUUUUUCUUUUUAUCAUAUUGCUUUCCAAAUGAAGCCUGUUCAGUGUUUACUGUUGUGUCAUGGUCCAUAUAUAAAAACCUCUUUUUCCUCCUGUUCCUUUGGGGCGUGCAAUUGUGUAUGUAGAACUUUUCAUUAGCGGUGUCACAAUUUAAAAAGUGAACAUAUUGUAAAAAUAUCAUUUCGGAAACACAAAAAUGUGCAUAAUUUGCACCUUAUCAGAGGAGGAUGAGUACAUUUUUUUAAAAAUUACUAUCAUUUUAAGUUUGUUGAAACUAUUUUUUUGCAUAUCAUAUGAGAAUGAUUUUUCAUUCAAGGGAUCGUUAAUAAUUAGAUCUCAUGGAUUUACUCAAGUCUUUACAGUAUAAAAGGCCAGGGGUUUAAUACCUCCCGACUCUAUUUCCUCUAUUGCCAAAAAGGCACAAAAUUUAGGGCAUUACACUACAUGAGGAUCGAAUACUCGACCUCGGUCGAACAAGGAAGCACCUAAAUACUAAUCCAUUCCAGGCUUGCUGUAAAGGGGUGUAAUUUUUAUUUUAUCUAGUCAUUUGGAAUAAUUAAUUGUUUUUUCUCCAGAAUGAUGUCAAUGAGAAAGAGUUGUCUGCACUAAAGGCUGUAUUAAAAUGCAUUGAAGACCAUAAGCUUGAGGAGCAAUACCUUGUGGAUCCCCUUCAGAAAAGGGUUCAUCAGCUGGAGAAAGUGAAGGCCGACAAGAAAAAGGCAACUGAAGUUGCAAAACCUCAAUCCAAAAGACCUCGUCCCAAUGGUGUCGGAAAUGGCCCCCGAGUAAAUAAUGUCGUCACUGAGAAGAACUUCUAUCCAAGAAUGACUGAUAGGUACCCGCAGCCCGUUUAUGACAGACCAUAUGCUUACCCUGGACCGACCAGCACCCACGUUCCAUCAUUCAUGGGUGCUCCUGCUUACAACUUCUCUCCUGGCCACGACUUUUUUGGAAAUGGCUACCAUUACCAGGCUCCUUACCUGCACUGAUAAGGAAACUUUGAUGAUUAUCCCUUUUAACUAUUAGUGUUUAACCUUGGAGUUUGCUUAAUUUGCUCGUGUGGGCGAAUUUAAUACUGAAUGUAGCCUACUUGUCUGUUUCUAAUCUGGUGUAAAAGCUGAUAUUUUAAUCUUUGAAUAUAUGCACUGUGUUUCAUGUUUAUAUCCAUUAAUCUCGUGUUUAACGUUUAUUUCGUGAUGCUACUGGAAAUUAUAUAUAAAUUAGUUUGUCUACUUGCUAGUGUGUACCAAUUCAGGGAAACAAAGAAAUGUCGAACUUGUUCUCGUCCCGGUAAAACGAGCCACCCGUGAUAGUCAGAUCGGUUUGAUUAUCAUUAGUAAAAGCUAGCUUUGUAAGCUAAGCAAGCAGGGCGCUAUGCUUGGUCGUAGAUCGAUCAUGAUGUGAAUGACUUUUUUGUAAUGUAAUGUAAAUGUAAUAGAAGAGAUGGAAUUCAAUUAUCAAUGCCUCUCCAUUUUCAACAAAGGUGAUAUGAGUUCCCGACUUCAUUUGUUUGUGCCCUUCUGGUGCGAGGAUUAAAUUCAUUUACUAAUUAUGGGUUAUUAUUUGUAAUAAUCUUCAAGUGAUUUUGAAAUGUAAAAAUUGGAUUCUUAACAUGAAAAAUUUAAAACUUACAAAAAUGAAAAAGAAUAAAGGUCCAUAAUAAUCAUGUAGUGUUGAUCAUCCAUUCUUAACCAAUGAGGUAUGGAUAAGGGAUAACGUUUUAUUAUUUUAUAACCAAUCACAAGCUCCCACGUAAGAGUCAUCCACCUUCAGAACCACAAAUUUUGUCUGCCAGCAAAAAAUUUAAAAAAUCCUCAUGUUCAUGUUUGAAACUUAGUUAUAUUCCUGUCUGACUUAAGUGUCAAUAUUUGCAAAAUGGCUACUGCAGCUUCCACCAUGGCUAGCCAGUUGAAUAGCAGCUUUGCUUCGUCUUUAACCAGAGGUCACGGCCUUGUUACUCCUAAAGGCAUUUCUGGUGCACCUUUCAAGAUUUUCCCUUCAACAAGAAAGUCUUGCUUCACCGUUAAGGCUGUCCAAGCUGAUAAAGUAAGAUACCAAAUCACCACUUUUCUUACUAUCAUGUUCUUGAUUUUCAAUAUUUUCUUUGUGUUUUUCGAAAAUCAGAAAUUCUAACUAGGAGAUUCAGAAAAUGAUAAAAUGUCACAUAUGAAAUCCAAACAUAUACAAUUUCAGAUUUUUUUAUGCUUAAUUAUAAGUUAAAUAUCAAGUAUUCCGGCUAUAUGCACAAUAUAAUUUUUCUAUAAAGUAGAUUCAAUUGAAACCCUUUUAAACCACGUAGCUCCACCCCUUUUGCAUCUUAUAAGUUUCCUAAUUAUAAUUUUUGGUGGGAAAAAUGUUGCUAGUGAGAUUCAAACACAUGAGCACUUACGGCUCUUUCAAGACAUCUAAAAUCACUAGGCUACAACACUUUUUUUUGUCAAGGGUGUCUAAAAUAUGUUAUUUAAUCACUUCGUAUAUCAUUUUACUUAUAUAUACGGUAUUAUUUCCCGACGAAGGGUGUCAAGUAGCUACGCCCCUGCCACCAUGCAUGAUACAAUUUUUCAACAAUAGAAUUCAAUUGAACCCUCUUCGAAUCAUGUAUAUGUGCCAGACUUUGCUUAAUUGACUCCCAAUAAUUUUAACUAAUUCAUGUCCUGAUCUUCUUUGGUUCUGCAGCCUACUUUCCAAGUGAUUCAACCUCUAAAUGGUGACCCUUUCAUUGGAAGUCUUGAAACUCCAGUAACCUCAAGCCCAUUGAUUGCAUGGUACCUCUCCAACUUGCCUGCCUACCGGACCGCGGUGAACCCGCUUCUCCGGGGAGUUGAAGUGGGCCUGGCCCAUGGAUUCUUACUAGUUGGGCCUUUUGUAAAGGCUGGUCCAUUAAGAAACACAGCUUAUGCAGGUAAAGCCCAAUUCCUAGUUUCAAUUUUUACACAUAGAGUUUGAGUUCUAUAUGCUGUUAACUAACAUGUUACUACAAGUAGGGGCGGAAGGGGAUUCGUCUGAACCUCCUUUGUCGGAAAAUUACACUUUAUAUAUAAGGUCAAUUUUUUUUUAUGUAUAUAAAAUAGAUGAUGAACCCGACCCAUUGUAUGCAGGGGGAGCUGGUUCAUUGGCAGCAGCAGGACUUGUAGUGAUCCUUAGCAUGUGUUUGACAAUUUAUGGAAUUUCAUCAUUCAAAGAAGGAGAUCCAUCAACAGCACCAGCAUUAACAUUAACUGGUAGGAAAAAAGUACCAGAUCAAUUGCAAACUGCAGAUGGAUGGGCUAAAUUCACUGGUGGAUUCUUUUUUGGUGGAAUUUCUGGUGUCACCUGGGCUUAUUUCCUCCUUUAUGUCCUUGAUCUUCCUUACUUUGUUAAGUAAAUUUCUGUACUAUUAUGAAUGUUAAAUUGGAUAUAUCAAAGUUGUAUAUCGAACCGCUGAUCUCUUGGAGAAGUGUAAUGAAUGUUUACUUUAAACGCUAGCAUAUCCGCACAUUUCGUUCUUGAUUCUAAUUCUUGCCUCCGGCUCUAGUGUAGUGGUAAUCGCGCAAUGCAUAAUGUGUGUAAUGUGUUGGGUGCAUGUCACGGCUAAUCUUGAGCUAGUCUUGGUUAUAUAAAAAAGAAAAAAAAGUGAUUUCUAGUACUCAAGGGCGUGAUCUAGUGGUCAAUGAAGUGGUUGAGAGUCAUGAGGUUUCAGGUUCAAAUCUAAGGUGAUUCUUUCCAUCUAGUUGAGGUGUGCGAAAGUUCGUCCAGACAUCAUGGUUAUCAAAAAAGAAGAAGUUGGUUUCUCCAAAUCAACCAGUUCAAGUUGGAUUGUUUAAUCUAAAGACUAAAUGGGUUGCUGUUUACGAAAUACAAAUUUGGCUUGAAAUUGGUUUAUAUGCAUGUCAAAAAUGGAAUCAAAUAUAAGAAACAUGUCUUACAUAUAAAUUGUUUUAAUUUAAUCAACGGAAAAUGAUCACCUUCGAACUAUUGGAAAUAAAAUAUCAUCCAUUUGGUUUUUGGUUAAAACAUGCCUCAAAUAUUAGAAACAGAACAAAAAUGCAUUAGCAAACUGGUCCAACUAUGCUCCUAUCCCGUUAAGGGGAAGGCAUGGGAGCCAAAACGCCUUACAAGGCGUGAUUCUCACACGCGUUUCAAUAAAAAAGUUAACACCCUUUACUAUAAGGCGUGUGAGGGGUCACGCCUUUUACCUGUUUCGAUUUUGUUAGGAAUUUUUGAUGAAAAAUAUUGUCCUUCAGGCUCUGGACUCUACAAAAUUGCUAAAGUGACAACAACAUUGAUUCUCAUGUUAACAAAAAUUAUUCGACUAUCAGCUGAAUUGUGCAACUCAACUAUUAACGAUACCAAAAGUACUUAAUCCCUUUUCAAUUUAAUUUGUGUUUCUUAAUGUAAAAUUAAUUAGUCAAUUUGGUGUAAAUAGGGACUUUUUUUUAUGACAAGGAAACCCAUCGCCACAUAGGGUAAAACCCCUUACUCCUAUGCAAUAGCUCACAAACCACACACAAGAGAGGUAGCCCGCAGUAGAUAAGUCUGGUGCGACGAAUUCGAUCCAAAAGGCAAACCCCUUACUUUCGUUGGGAAGGAGUUUCGAACUUGAAACCUUCAGCAUGAAAGUUCCAAGUCCAAACCACUAGGCCAUCCCGAAGGGUGUAAACAUGGACUUUCUUUCCCUGUUCUUUUUACAAAAAUCAAGUUAGCUAUGAAUGAUCCAUUCGUGACCAAUGCAGUUCGGAUAAGAGAUAAUGUUUCAAAACUAACCAAUAAGAAGCUCCCACGUAAGAGUUUCAUCCACCCUAAGAACCACCAAUCUGUAAACCCAAAAGAUUUUCUUUGCCAGUCAUUAACAAGACUUGUCUGCAUCUUUUGUUAUAUUCUAACUAACUGAUCAAACAAACAGAGCCAAACAAUAUUUUCCAAAAUGGCUACUGCAGCAUCCACAAUGGCUAGCCCGUUGAAGAGCAGCUUUGCUUCGUCUUUAACCAGAGGUCACGGCCUUGUUACUCCCAAAGGCAUUUCUGGUGCACCUUUUAAGAUUUUCCCUUCAACAAGAAAGUCUUGCUUCACCGUCAAGGCUGUCCAAGCUGAUAAAGUAAGAUAACUAAUCACCACUUUUCUUAUUAUCAUGUUCUUGAAUUUGACAACUUUUUUUUGAGAUAAAUUAUAAUAUUCAGAUCAGUUUGUACAUGCCUCAACUAACUCAGCCGGGAGUCGAAUCAGUAAAUUUUAUAUUUGUGUCAAAUAGAUUCACUUAAUAUGUUCAAUAAUCUAUUCAGAACCUAGUAACCAAAAUACUAAGUUAUUGUUUAGAUCCCAUAAAUUUAAAAUCUGUGAUGUAUCGAGUAAUUCUGUCCACUGAGGCUAGGACAAAUGGGAAAAGAUCACCUAUAGUUUGGAUUUCUGUAUGUUUUCUUUAGAUAAGCGGCGGAGCUUAAAAUUAUUUAAAUGCCACACCUAGAUUUCAAACUAGCAAUGUAAAAUCAAGUUUCGAGAGUAUGCCUUAAUCUAAUAGGCGGCAUAGAGUUUCUAAGUGAAGGAACUAUACAUGGAACUAGCUUUUUCUAAUCACCUUUUGCCAUUACAUAAAAAGUUUCUCUUGUGUAGAGAAAAUUCAGUAAUUUAAUUCUUUGGCUAUUGACAGGGCAAGGAAUCUGAAAGGGGAUUUGAAAAAAAUACUCAAAUGCCAUACCUAAAGUUCAUCUUAUAAGAAAAAAAUUUCUAACAAAAUGUAAAUUUUGGUUUGUUGGAUCUGAUUAUUACUCAAUAACUGUCCUUUGCUUUGUGUUGUUUUUCUUGAUUCUGCAGCCAACUUUCCAAGUGAUUCAGCCCCUUAAUGGUGACCCUUUCAUUGGAAGUCUUGAAACUCCAGUCACCUCAAGUCCAUUGAUUGCAUGGUACCUCUCCAACUUGCCUGCCUACCGGACCGCGGUGAACCCACUUCUCCGGGGAGUAGAAGUGGGCCUGGCCCAUGGAUUCUUACUAGUUGGCCCAUUCGUAAAGGCUGGCCCAUUAAGAAACACAGAGUAUGCAGGUAAAGUCAGACUUUAGAAUUUUAACUUGAUGAGUUUAAUCUUUAUAACUCACGGUUGAUUCACACCAUAGAUGUCCCUAGUUUUUAAGAGUUGUGCAAAUAGACAAAACAUUAAACUGUCAUCUAAACAUCUACAAAAUUUCAGACCAUGGUCUAAAAGGGUCAUUAUUUCGAAAUGUAUGUAUCUAAGUUCUGUGACGAAAAUAUUGUUACUAUUAUUGCAGGGGGAGCUGGUUCUUUGGCAGCAGCAGGACUUGUUGUGAUCCUUAGUAUGUGUUUGACAAUUUAUGGAAUUUCAUCAUUCAAAGAAGGAGAUCCAUCAACAGCACCAGCAUUGACAUUGACUGGCAGGAAAAAAGUGCCAGAUCAAUUGCAAACUGCAGAUGGAUGGGCUAAAUUCACUGGUGGAUUCUUUUUUGGUGGAAUUUCUGGUGUCACUUGGGCUUAUUUCCUCCUAUAUGUUCUUGAUCUUCCUUACUUUGUUAAGUAAAUUUCUUUAAUUGAUGUAACUAUUUUGAAUGUUAAAUUGGAUAUGAAAGAUGUAUAUUGAACUACUAAGCUCUUGGAGGAGUGCAAUUUAACUCGUUGUAAUGAGUUACUUGUCUUAUUCUUUAUAACUUGUAGUUAUCUUUAGUGACCUUUUAAAUGACUUGACUGUAUAUAAAAUUCUUACAUUUUUCAAGUCUAUGACUCUGAGUCGAAGAAACCGAGAUGAUUGGGCACAUGCUAGAAUAAUCUUUUAAAAGGGAAUCAUAUAACUAAAAGAAUAUUUGUAAAGAACGAUUGAACUCGUAAAAAAUGCAGAUGUCUUACCUUUUCUUUAGAAUAUUAUCUUUAAUUGUAACUCACUCUAUUUAAAUUUUAUCAAAGCCUUUUUCAAGUAAGCAAAUUAAUCCAAAUACGAAAAAUGAACAGUUCAACAAAAUAUUUCUCUCUCUCUCCAUGCAAAUCAUGCAUUAAAAUACUUUACCUCCAAAUUGAGGAUACACAUAACACAUGUAUAAAACCUCAGGGCCUGUAGAUUACUUUUUUCAGUCAUUGUAAACAUUCCUAGAAAACAAAUACAUAACUACUCAUUUCAGCUUUAGAGCACAGCCAUGGCACCUUCAGGGUAUGUAGAUUACAUUUUAAAGUUAUUGUAAAGAAUAUUUAUAUGAAUUAUGUUGCUUAUAAAGCAAGUGCAAGAUAUAUUUAUGACAAAUAUUUACUGGUAAUCAAUAAAAAUCGCGAGUUUCUCACGCUAUAAUCAGUUAAAUUGGAGUGAUAGAACUGAUAGUAUAUGUAUAGUUUGAAUCCUUUGUUUUUUAGGCAUUUUAAUGUGUUAGCUUACUGGUUAUGUACAUGUUUAGAAUGGUUGGCUGGCUUUGUUUUGAAUUGUUACGAAAUUUUAUAGUUGGUAAAAGACAUAACCUAAAUGUAUAAUCCAGAGAAUUUUAGUAACUCAGUUGGUUGGCUACUUGAACUUUCACCUUGUUGGUGAGGGAAUUCCCUCCCUGAUUUCCCCUUCCGCUACCCCUAAUUUUUUGUUCAUUUUAAAAAAAAAACUAUAUGUAUAAUCUUGCUUUUGCCAUUUGCCAGAAACUCAGGCAGCAGUGGCAAGCACAGUGUAGUCGUGACAGCUCUAGACGGAGUCAUAAAUGUGAACUCACUCUUUACCAUUGCCAUUUUUGUGGGACUGUCUCUUGCAUCUCCAGGGCAAAAGAGCCUCAACAGUAGCGAACGUUGUCAGCCAGGGAUUCUAACAGUAAAGCAACUAGUAAUCUUCGAGGUGCUUUCGUUCAGUUUCUUUCUCUUCUCAUCACUAGUAGCACAGGCCAUAAAACUCUCCCUCAAUCUUCUCUAUAGCGAAGAUCUGUCUCAUGAUUUCAGUGUUAUUGUCAAUGGAACACUCCUUAGAGCAGGAAUGUUGAUGACAGCCAUUUCCUCUGUUAUGGGGUGCUUGUUUCUUAUGGUUUCUAUGUUGAAUGUGAUUGAGAUCAAGACUGGGAUGCUAAUCUGUGGAGCUAAAUCUACUAUUAUAUCAGUUACUUUCCUCAUAAUCCUCGUUUCUUCUGGUCUUUUGGUGUAUAUUUCUGCUGCAUGGUAUGCAUUUAUCCACGCAAACGUUCACCCCCAUGAAAACAGGACUUCUUGAUUUGCCAAGCUCUCUAGUUCUAUCAAAUCCUAUUUUGUUGUCCAAUAACAGCGGUGUCUGGAUUAGUUUGUGUGCACUUCAACAAUUCUAUCUAACAAACCUUUGCUACCUCACAGAGCUUCAUAUCUUGUUUUUCAUCUUUGGUCCAGUACGUCAAAUUUUCGGCUAAGUAUAGACCCUUUGUAAGGGGACCUAUUAUUUCAAUCUUUUGUAAUUGUUUAGGUGAUGGACAGGAAAGUCCACUUUCCUUCUUGUUAAGAUAUUUAAUAUAUAUAGUUAAUUUAUCACAUCAAUGUAUAGUGCAGUGAUUUUUAAGUAAUACAAUAACAACAUACCUAGUGAAAUCCCACAAGUGAGGUCUAGAGAGGCAAGCACGGUGUACCAGACCUUACCACUAAGGGUGUUCACGGUUUGGUUUGGGUCGGUUAUUGGUCAAAACCAAAACCAAACCAACUUAAUCGGUUCUAAAAUUAUCAAAACCAAACCAAACCAAACCAAAUAUAAUAUACAUUUAUCGGUUUGGUUGUUUUCGGUUUUGGUUUGGUUUGGCUCGGUUAUUCGGUUUUUUAACCAUACAUAAAAAUAAAAGAAACAAUUCAUUCAAAACGUGAAAAAAGUGACAACAAUCCAUUCAAACAAAAAAAUAGUUAGAAUGACUGGCAUUACAGAACUUUCGAUCAUUGAAUUUACUGAAUAAAACUUCAAAAUUCACUAUUUUGGCAUUGAAGGAAGAGACAAUGAUAUUUUUAGUCUCACAAAAAAUUUUCAUACACUCAUAUACAUGAAACCAAUAAGAAAAAUGUUCUCACCUUGGACAUUUUUUCUUUCAUAAGUAAAUUAUAAAUAAAUUUUGAUGAAACAUAUAUAAAAUCUUUAAAAUUGUUUAUGAAUAUAAUAUAUUAUGUAUGUAUAAUAAUAAAAUUUAUGUAUAUAGCUUGUUGGUUCGGUUCGGUUAUUUCUUCGAUUUUUUUCGAACAAAAUCAUAACCAAACCAAAUACUAUCGGUUCUUAACAAUCUAAAACCAAACCAAACCAAAACGCAAAUUAAAUCGGUUUGGUUUGAUUUUUCGAUUUGGAUUGGUUUUUAUCCAAACCAUGAACACCCCUACUUACCACUAUCUCGUGGAGUUAGAGAGGCUGUUUUAAGUAAUAAUCUUCAGAUUUUAUUUGUUGUUGCAAGUUGUGGAAAUGCAGAAUUUUAUUUUGGCAUCAUGACAUUUUUUUAUCUUUACUUUCAUGCAACCUGGUAGUGUUAGUAUACAAGACGCUGAACUAAGAAACAUAGACGGAGAACAUAGAUAUCUCAAAAUGUAUAAAUUCGGAGAAUUUUAGUAGCUCAAUUGGUUGGCUAAACUUUUAUCUUGUUGAUAUAGACGGAGAACAUAGAUAUCUCAAAAUGUAUAAAUCCGGAGAAUUUAAGUAGCUCAGUUGGUUGGGUAAACUUUCAUCUGGUUGGUCCCUCCCAGCAACUGUUGCUUAAAAAAAAAACCGCCGCUGCCGGGGAUCGAACCCGGGUCACCCGCGUGACAGGCGGGAAUACUUACCACUAUACUACAACGACUUUGUUGGCUAUAUAUUUUGUACGAUGAAAGAUAUUAUUAUUUAAUAGUAAUAGAUUGGGAAUGAAUGGUGCUGGAUUGCCCAUCCUUUUUAUUUAAAUUGGUAAGAAGAAAGGAAAACAAAUAUAGAGAAGAAGAUAUCCAGGAUGGCUGCAACUCCCAACAUUUACACCCAAAAGUUCCCAACAAUUACAACUCAAAAUUACAUAGCCUCCAAUAUAUCUUGUUUUAUAAGUUUCCGAAAACAGAGCAGAAAAUUGGUUUUAAUAGUUGGAAACUCCAGUAGCAGCGACACAGCCUCAGCAAUAGGCACAGAUGAAACCUCACCUGUUGAAAUUGCCCCUUCUAUUAUCUCUGCUCUUAAUGUUGAAAAAGCUCUUCUUGGCAUAGGUGCUUUCUUCCAUUUCAUUUAUUUUUACAAUUCACUUUUCUUAUCACUGCAAAAGUGUAUUGAAAUUAAACUUUGUUUUCGAACAUUUUAAAUUUGAUUUGUUCAUCUUAAUAACUAUGAUUUUUAUUUUAUUUUUGUCCUUCAUUUGACUAAUAAGUUACAUUUUAGAAUGCAGCAAUAACAGAUAUAGAUCACUAUGGAAUACUAGGACUUUCAAGAAAAUGUUCAUAUGCUGAGGUCCACACAAAAACAUCUCUUUAAUUUUGUUUUUCUCUCUUUUUCACCCAUUAAUUAAUCAGAUAAAAAAGAAAAGAAUAAUUUGUUCUUAAUGUUUGACUUGUAUUCGUACAAUAUAUAUAGGUUCCAGUAGCGUACAAGAAAAAAGUUGAAGAAAUUAUGAAUGAGGGAUUGGUAGAAGAAGAGCUUAACAAGAAGCUUCAACUCCUAAAAGUAUUAAUUUCAUCUCAUUUUUUCUUAUUAAUAGACAAAGUUUUAGAGAUUAAUUUUUCUUUUGACAUAUAUAGGAAUCAUAUUCAAUUUUGUCAACACCAGAGGAGAGAAGGUUGUAUGAUUGGAGUUUGGUAAGGAGUGAAGCACCGGAUGAUUACAAAUGGCCAUUUGAGGUUGAUCCAACUCCGCCCUCUACGGGGACUCCUCCUCCUCAGGUACUGCUUUUUUCCCCAUCACUUAAUUAAUACUCCCUCCGUCUCACAAAUAAUGAUUUAGUUUAACUUGACACGAAAUUUAAAAAAAUAAAGAAGACUUUUGAAUCUUGUGGUCUUAAAUUAAAGUUAUGUCAAAUGUACAAAAUUACCUUUUAAUUUUGUGGCCUUAAACAUGCUACGUGGAAAGCUGAAAUUAAAAUGUUACCAAAAAAAGAAAUAGAUCAUUUUUUUUUGAAACAGAAUAAAAAGGAAAGAAAGUCAUUCUUUUUUAAAUGGAGGGAGUAAUUAUUAUAUCAAAACAUCACUUUGAAAUUAUUUUUAAAAAAAAGAGUCUAUUGGGAUAAUAUUUUCUUGGUUACUUACCAAACACUAGAAAAUAAGUAAGAUAACAUUUUCACCAAGCAUACUGUAAGUUAAUUAUUCCUUCAGUUAGACCAGAAAAUGAUUAUAACUUGAGUUAUCAAUAAUACUUUACGUUUUUUAAUUGUAUAAAAACAUAAUUACAGGAGCCAGAAGAUGUGGAACCAACAAUAUUAGUGGGAUAUUUCUUUUUAGGUUGGUUUGUACUAGCUGCCGUGUUAUCAAUUGCCCUUAAUCUCUAGAAAGAAAAUUAUAUAUGUUUAUCAUAUAAUAAGAUAUUCAUUUUCGUGUAACAUAUAUACACUUAAACCUUCAAUUGUUGCAUUUUUAUGAAAUUCUAUGUAAAUUUACCUUUUUUCUUCCAACGCACACCAGGGGAUUUUUCACAUUCUCUUUCUCCAGGGGAGUUCUAAUCUUCCAAUUAGGAUCCCCUCAUUGUUAGUAGUUUUAAAUUUAUACCUAUAGCUUAGUAGAUGGACUUAAUAUUUGGAAUAAGGCGAGAACUAAGUAGUAUGCAAUUAUUUACUAGUAUUAACUAUUAACUACUUAUUUCCAAAGAAAAGUGAAAGUUUGGGGGGGAUUUGAACGAUUUGUAGUAUCAAACUAUCAAUUAAUAACAUGUAACUUUCAACAAGGUUAAUUUAAACUGAUAAUUUAUAGAAAGAGAAAUCAAGAUUGUAUUCACCAAAAGAUUGUAUGAAUUAUGUUGGGUAAAUAGAAAAUCCCAUCUGGUAAUGCUAGUAUAUCAGCUUAUCAAUCUUAUACUACAUUUAAUCGUUUCUGAACCAAAUUGAAUGCAUGCCACUUUUAUUCUUUCGAAAGUGUUACCUCAAAUCAGUGACAUUUACUCAAAGUUGGUUAAUCAUAGGCAAGCUUUUAUAUCUCAAAUCUUCGUUACUAGCUCUUUUCCUAUGUUUUGCACAUUAUAACUCAAAUAAGUAAAAUUAAAGAUUCUAAUGUUUGCAACCAUUAGAAAUCAGUUAAGAUGAAAGAACUUAUAAUGUAUACAAUCAUAAUACAUGUUUUAUUUCGUAAAUAUCCUUUGUUUAGGUCAAGUCGUCAUGGAUUUCAAAACCCGAGGUUUAGCCAGUCACGCAAACUCUUGAUAAAACUUGUUCAAGUGUACAUUGUUCUUCACUAUAAACCAAGAUGAUAGUAGUAUUUAUAGUCCUGGAAAAUUUGGAAUUUAAAAUAAAAAAGCUGGUCCAUUGCUGACAGCUCAUCACAAGUGUGACGAUCCGCCGCUUACACUAUCAUCCCUUAACAAUAACUUGAUUAGAAUCUAUAUUAAAGUAUUAGAUUGUUUUACAUAGCUUACAUUGGAAGCUCUCUUGUUAACUUAUGGCACCAAUGCAUAGUGCAGUGUGGAGUAAUCAUCAGAUUUUAUUUGUUGUUGCAGAAAUGCAGAAUUUAUUUUGGCAUCAUACCAGUAUUUUUCAAUCUUUUCUCCUUCUCCUUUCUUUCUAAACUAGCAGAAUCAUAGGACAUCAAAAGGGGUUCAUGCGACCUGGUAUACAAGAGGCUGAACUAAGAAAUAUAGACGUAGAACAUAGAUAUAGAAUGACAUAUUUCAGCAGGAAUGAGCAGAUUUCUAGAACAGAGAUAAUAUUCCAUUCCAGUAUUGUUUCUAAUGAAGACAAUUAAACUCAACAACCAUACAAAGAAAUAGAAUCGUGACAAUGUUAUUCAGUUGAGGCUUUUGGAUAUCAAUGUUUAGAAUCACCUCAGCGGGUCUUGGUCUUCUGCUCGUGGACGUUGACAGCAGCACAUAUUUUCUUCCAGCAGUGGAUCACUAUGAGACUUGGUAUCCAAACCCAGAAAUGAUUUGCAAAGACAUAGUAAGCGUAGUAAUAGAAGGGGCUUGUAGAAAAAUUGUCGCCUUCCAAGACAGCUGUUAUGAAGUAUAUAGCCGUGCCAUAGAGCUGCCCCAAACAAAUGGAUAGUUGAAGUACGUGCCUGUAUGCCUUCUUAGUAGCUAUAGCAUACCUGCCAAUGCCAAAAGAACAAUGAGGUCAAACUUGAAUACAUCUUCCUGCCCCGUCCAUAUACUUUUACUAAUAAAGGAUUUAGUCAAAAUGAUCCCAGCAUCAAAUCCCGCAUACAAUAUUUGGUGGAUAGAGUUACCUGGUACAUGUGGUACAUGAGCUACUGAGAGGUAGCAGGUACCACAUGAAAUUAGUAAAGAUGCAUGCAAGUUGACUCGACCACCACAGUUAUCCAAGAAAAACAAUCCGCAUAAUUAAAUGCAGCAUUUGGAUGGUUGUAUAAGAACAAAUAAUCCCCAAUAAUCUAAUGUAGUGUUUGGUUGGCGCUAUAAAAAAAAUACCGACAUUAAAUUACACGAGAAUUAACAUGUUAUUUUAUGCGGGAUAAAGUGUGGAAUAAGAACAGUGGAUUAGCAUUACGAGGAGAGAAAUACCCUUAAAAUAAGUAACUGUUACAUUAUAUUCCUUGUAUUAUUACUUUAUCAAAAUUAUAUUCCCUGUAUAUUAUUAUUAGUCAAGUUAUUCCUUGUAUAAUUAAUACUCACUGCAAUACAAUCCUUCAUUUUUAUUUCCCGCAUAACAUACGGUACAUAACAAGUCCAUGCAUAACUAGAAUGUGAACAAGCAACCCCUUAGGAUAAGCACAUUGAUUCUGACAGUCUCAAGGUGCAUGACAAGUUAAUAUCGCUUGAGAAUGAUACUUACACUGCAAGAAGGCAUGCUGGCCCCUCUAUGACAGCUGUGACCCCUUCAACACUGAGAACUGCAGCAUCUCGGCCUACGUAUCUUGAAUCACCUUUGCUGUAUUCUUUCCCUGCAAUAUAUUGUUUGUGUUGGUACUUUUAUAGGCCAAAUUAGAAACAUAUCCUAAUACAAAUGAACUGUUCUUGUUUGUAAGAAGACUUUGCUAAAUUGAGACUUACAGACUUCAGCAAGGUAAACAGGACUAGUCUUUUGGUAGAAAUCUGGAGUAAAAACGAAAUAUCCCUCAAGGACCAUGUGGGUUAGGCCCGUGAAAAUCCACCAGCACAUGAGCACCCUGUCAGUCUUUGAUAAUUUAGGAACAAACCCUAGCAAGGAAAAGAAGGAGAAAUGAAGUUAGAGAACAAAACAUGGCCACAAUGGAGAAUGAAAAAGAUGGACUUUGCAUAUAGAAAUUUAUAACACUAAUGCAGCUGAAAAUUAUGUAGUAUAGAACUAGAUAGAAAAGACCAACAUGAUAGUAAUUUAUGUCCUCAUUUAUCAUUCACUACUAAACUUUGAGUACAUGAAACUAACACUUAGGGGCUGCAUGAGCUUAAUUGAGAAGUGAAAUAAUUGUCAAGACUGCUUGAAGUCCUGACUGAGGCAUAGGAUAAGCUGUACAACUCGACGUUUUAGGGUUCAAUAUCUUCUUUAAUCCCAUUCACAAGUCAGUAAAGUUGUGGGUUGACAUUAACAUCAAACUAGAUUCUCUUUUUUAGGGUCAAGACUGCCUGCAAUUACAACAACAUACCCAUCGUAAUCCCACAAGUGGGAUAUGGGGAAGGUAGGAUGUAAGAAGACCUUAUCCCUAUUGUAGGGUAGAGAUGCCGAUUCGGAUAGACCCUCGGCUCAAAAGAAGUGUAAUCAGGAUUGAAAGGAAAAUAAUGACAGCAAAAUAGCAAGACUAACAAAGCAAAUGAAGCAAUAGGUAGUAGUAAAAAUGAAGAAUAAGAUACUAAGCGAAUUACUAUAUAAGGAGAAGAUGAGAAGAGGAGAAUAAAUCAGUCAUGCAAUAAUCAUUGAAUAAUUACCUGAGAAUAUCCACAUGAACACCACAACCAGUAAGGAUGAGAUGCCAUAUACACCAACAAUUUCUGACUGUGAGAGGAAUAGGGGAACAAAACCAGGCAAUUUUAGAUCAUGCGGAACGUAGGGGUGAGCUUCUCCCUGGCUUGCCAUUUUUUCUCAGUGCCUGACUUAAGGACCCUUUCCUGUGAUCUGCAAUUCACAGAAAGAACAAAGUCCAUACAUUAGAGAAGGUGUUACUCAAUGAGCUACUCCACAAUUUUCACAUUCCCAUCUAACUUCACUUGUAAGUAUAAGUUAUACUCUAAUUUGACGAUCUAUCAAAAAUCAGACGGAAACUACCCUACAGCUAUUAAACUUUUUUUAAGGAAUCGGGGCACAAAAGGCAAAUACAAGAAUCAUAGUGAAAUCAGUGGAAGUGAUCAAUCAACUACGCCUCAACUACAAAAUAGUUGGACUUGACUAUGUGAAACCAUUGUAUCCGUUCCAUUCUUUUCAACUGCAUAUUAUUCUGAUGAACAAGUCAAAUUAGGGAUUCUCCAAUGUGUAUGGUAAAGGAAGAAAACAAUUUCCUAGAAAGUAUUUCACUAAAGAAGUUAUUGGGCAACACUUCUCAUGGAAAAAAUACCAUAAAAAAGAUUCACCUAUGGCAUAAAUAAAAUCAUCUUUUAACAAAUAUCGCAACUCUUAAUCCACAUACUUGCUACAAACAACACUUGAACAUUAUUUUCAAUAAUUAAGAAAUUUCAUCAAAUUCCCAAAACAAAACAUAAUUUAAUUGUCACAAUUAUAACAUGUUUGGCCAAACUUCAAAAUAACUUAUUUUGAAAAGUGUUUUCCAAGAAAAGUACUUUUGGUGAGGAACAAUUUGUGUUUGGCUAAUAAAAUUAAAAAACAUUUUUGAGCAACAAUUAGUGUUUGACCAAGUCAUCAGUUACUCCUCAAAAACACUUAUUUUCUCCCAAAAGCUUGGCCAAACACUUCACUUUUUUCAAAUAAACACUUAUGGUCUCCCAAAAACAUGGUCAAACAAGCUAUUAACAUCAAUGCUUAAUUAAUAUUUUCCACUCACCAACCAAGCAUCUGAAAAACUUUUCGAGGAAAUAAUUUUCAAAACAUUUCCCUUAAUACCAAACACAACUAGGUCUCUAAAUCAGGAAAACUAAUGCUGGUUAAAAAUUAAAAAGAAUGAGUAAAGUUUUCAAAACCCAUAGAAUCUAAAGAUGAAAAUUAAGGUCAAAAUCUCUAAAAUCACAAUUCCCACACAAUGACAGAAAACUAGAUCCCUUUUUCACUUUCAAGCAAAUGUAAGCAUAAAACAGAAGUACAAACAAAACAGACUAGUAAUUACCCUAAAGGAUGAGACUUUCACACUUCUCAGUCACUUUUAUUCACAUAUGAACAUUAUAAUAACUAUUAAAUCCAAAAUUUACAUAAUUCCUGAAACAUGCAUAUAAAGACAUGAACUUUAGCAUCCCAUUUGGUUAAAUCAUUUAAAUAGCUCAAAAAAUCCAUUAAAAUACAGAAAAUUACAAAAGGGUAACUCUUAAGAAUUUUUCAGAUCAGUGAGAGUUGACUUACCGGCGAUGAAGAAGAAAAGGGAGAGAGUAGAGAAGCUGAGAGAGUAGAGCACUGAAAUACAAAUAAGUAAAGAUUUGGAGUCACGUGAGAAAGGCACGUGACUCUCACAGUUCUGUUUGGAUGGUAAUGGGAAAUAAUUUUCUUUAGAAAUUUUUUAUAAAUUAUUUUUCUUUUUUUAUGGAAAUUAAUUUUAUAACAUCAUCUUGUUAUAACCGCUAAAAAAAUAGUAUUUGAACAAAUAAAAUUGUUAUAAAGAAGUUCUGCUGUAUAGUUUAAAGUUAUAUUGUUGUGAAAGUAAGAGAAUGGUUGGUGGGACAAGGGAGUGCAUACAAAGCCGAUUUUGGGACCAUUAUUACUUAAUUCACUUUUUAUAUUCGAAAUUUAAGCCUCGUUUUUUCAAUUUUUGCAAAAAAAAUUAAAAUCGUAACUAAAAUAUCAACGACAAAUUCUAUCGAAUUCAAUAAUUUUGAUUACUAUAUUAAAAAUUAUUAAAAUUCAUAAAUUUUAAAUUCUUAUUUCUCAUUCUAAGUCUACUAUCUGUGUGAUUUCUUACUAAGCAAUGUGUUUUGUUUAUGAUUUUCAAUAUCUAAAAGAAAAGUGAUAUGUGUGGGCAUGAUUUUUUAGACAUGUGUUAUUAUCACAUAGUUCAAUUAUUAUGUCUUUUUGACCACCCAAAGGAACUAGUAUUCUGACACUGGGGUGCUGCAUGUUGCAAAUGUGAUGAUAAAUUUUUUUUUGUGCUUAAUAUAUAUAUAUAUAUAUAUAUAUAUAUAUCUAGAAAGGGGUGCUAGCAACGGUUCAUUAAUUAAUUUAACUCAAAGUCUUUAUAUUAUUUUAUAUGUAGAAACAUGCUCAUAAUUGUUUAGAGAACGGCUGGCUAGGGUUAGAGGAAUUGUCUACAAAGAUAUCUAAAUUGUGAAAUUAAAGUAUUCAUCUGUUAUGUGAAGAUUUUGAUGAUCAAUAAUUCGAAUCAUGAUUACUGAAGAUCAAGGAGAAGAAGAUUACCAUAAGUUUCAAAUAAAAUUCAAAUAUUUGGAAUCUAUGGUCAAAUGCCUACUUAGACAAUGGGUUGAUGCAAAUUAUGUAUAUUCGAUGUCAAAAAAUAUCAAAUUUGAAUCUACAAUUUCAAAAGUAAAGUCCUUUUAAGUGCUAACAAUCUUAAAGGUCGAACUCAUUAAGUUUGAAUCUUGAAUGUUGAAUCUGGCUCAGAUUCUAUUUCAUAUAAUAAGUGAUGCACUAAUAAUUCAACAAGAUCUCAAUACCUCAAAAUCAACACAAGGAUACAUUUUCGUAGAAAUGUUCUUGUGACAUACUAAACACAGUAAAGAAAAACAAAGAAAUGGCAGUCAUCAACUUCGUACUUCAUACAUUUCUGAGAAACUACAUAAACUACGCGUUUGAAGUAUGCAGUUUUAACCAAACCAUUGUAAUUUACUAUAGUCACGAAGUAAAUAUCAGAUAUGAGUAAGUUCUAUCUUGUGUAGACUCGUAAAGGUAAGAGUUCUGUAAAUGGCACCACACUAGGACUGCUCAAACUUAUGAACUUCCACUCUGGAUUAGGGAAGAAUCAACCCUUGGAAAAUAAUAAUCCUAUUGUCCAGGAGCCCCAGAAUGAAAUUGCUAAUGUUGUACUCGUCUUUGUUCAGCAAAACAACUUUGUCACGUGUGAUCCUCUACCACAAUGUGUCUGGGCUCUUGUUGAGGACAAGUUAACAGCUGCAACUGCACAUUUUCACCAUUUCAGUCCUAAGAGUUCUAUAGACAGGCGAGAAGGGAACCACCAUGAUGAACAUGGAUAAAGUUUGCUGCUUCUCGCCUGCUGCAAACUGUUGACUAUAACAGGCCCACCAUCCCUCUCACUUAACAAACCUCGCUUGGAACUUUUGCUAACGAAUAAACCACUUUCAUCUCUUCCGUUUCUUCAAAAGUGAUGCAGCUUGCAGAAUAAUCUUAUCAACCUCAUCAAGACCUGGUGUGUCGACAUCUUUACCUGGUGAUUUCUCUUUCCUCAAGUUAGAAGAUAUUUGACGCAAAUGCUCCUCGAAAUCCUGUUCAUCUCCAUUACUUUGCACUGGAAACUUUUCAAACACAUCCAAAUAAAGUGGUUCUUCAGCCUUCUCUUCAUGCUCUUCCUCAGAAUCAGUCUCAAAAAUAUCUGAAAGAUCUUCAGAAUCUGAGCAUAUAUCUGUAUCUACCAUGGAAUCAUUUUCUUCACCCUGUUCUUCAUUUUCAACCAUUAUCCGUUUGAGCUUAUCAGAUGCCUCAAUUUGCUGAUCUGAACGGUGUUCAGGGUGAAAUUUCUCAAGGCCAACCUCUUGAUUUUUGUUAGGAGCAUCAGUUUCAUUUUCAGCUUGCAACCGAAGCAGCUCAAGAUCUUGCUCCAGACGUGGAAUGUAUCUCUCAACAGCUCUUAAGGAAUCUCUGUAUUUAGAUUUAUCCAAGGCCUGUGUAAAGGGGCAAUAACAAAAAUAAGAGCGCGAAAAAGUGGGGAUCCACAUAAUAGCAUACACAAAAGUUAGCAGACAGUAAGAGAACCUUUUUCCUGGAAAGAGUACUUCUUGGAGACAUUAUCUCAGUUGGUGGUUGAGAGUAAUUCUUUCCCCUGUACAUUAUAAUGGUGUCAUCAUCCUGGAUAUCAAGAACAAUUCCACCACUUAAUCUUGCAAGCUCUACAGCAAUUUCCUUAACCUCCUCAGGAGAAAACGUUUUCACCACCACUUUCAGAGUUUGGUGCUUCUUCCAAUGCAAAUGCAUAUUAAGGAUCACACCCUGGUAUAUCCCACGUCUUCCAACUGGUACAUAAUUCUUGCACUUCUCCCCCAUUUUCAGGAAGUAGAAGUGUUCUUCUGGUGUCAAUAUUUCUGGGUCAUGAGUAGCUUCCGAUAUCUCCUUAGGCUCAACCUUCCUAAGAGCUUCAACAAGCCUCUCCUCUUUCUUCCGUGCCUAGAAAGAUGAAAUUUUGCAAUCCCUAAAUACUUCAAUUGUAUUUGACAGUCAACAUAAAGUAGGUGGCGCAACCCAUCCAUAAUUGUGUUGGAUUCCAAAUAGCCAUUAAGUAAUAAUCCAAAGAGCAAUCUAUUCUUUAGCAUCUAUUGGCAAGUAAAUAAGUGAAGAAACUAAUGUCACAACUAUCAAUAAAAACAGUUCUAGAAUUGCAAAUGACACCACAAUCAGCACAACUGAAAUAUCAGUUUGAUAUGACUAGAUUGAUACCAACAGUCCAUUAAAUUAUUCAACCUCAACAAAGUCAUAUAUUAGGAACACAUAAUUUCUAGGUUCAGAAAUGGCAAAGGGUAAUACUUUCAGGAAACAAAAGAUUAGAACAGGCAUAUCUAGAUAAAUAGUCCUUUCCCAUAAACUUAAAUUAGAAUAAAGCAUAUAAACAAAAAGACCCACAAUCUCUAGGAAGAAAUGCAGAUUUAACAGAAAACAGGAAAAGGUAUAACCAAAGGAUCUAUAUUAAAGAUACCAAAUAGUUGGGAUCAAGACUUAUUUGUUCUUACACUUGCAUUAGAUCCAUAUUUGUUAAGACAUUCUUCUUAGGCACACUAUAGACUUGAAUGUCACUGCAGGGGAUAUUAAUAUUAUGAGUAUUGGAAUGAAAUGAUGCCAGAUACAGUGAAAUGGAUAUAGAAGAUUCAAAUAGCCGACCUUAAUUAGGUAGAGAUUGAGAUCUAGCUUACUGAUUCAUUCGAAGGAAAUACACAAGCUAAGACAAUUUCAAGAGUUGUCAAAUGCAAAAGAGUAUGGUAUUUCAAACAGAUUGAAGCUACCAAAACCCGUGCAGCAUAAGUAGUUCAAAGUUCAAAUAUCAUCUUUUUAUCUUUACAACCUCGGAGACAGGCCAGUUUGAGAAUACCUCAGCUGAUUCCACAAGUACCUGUGACCUCUCACCAGCAUAGGUACCGGUUUACUUCAAACAUCAUCUUACAAAACUUCCACUAGACUAAAUAACAUGCUACAAGAAAAGCAUUACCUUCCUCAAUUUAAAAAGGAUUCUUUCUUCAGCUGUCAUCCUUUGGAACUCUUUCUUCUUCUUCCACCUGAAGAACUUCAACCACUUCACAACCUGUCUUUUACCCUUCAGUUUCUUCCUCUUGAUUUUAUCUUCUUUAAACUCGCCGGAACUCUCAGCAACAACAUCAUUACCACCGCCAUUCGACGUUUCCCCUUCCCCAGCUUUGCCAGCCGUACAGUAAUACCGGCCCGAAUCUAUCAAUCCAAAAUCCCAUUUUUGUACGAUUAAGCGUGGCCCAACUAUGACUUCUCUUUCAAAAACCUUGCAUACUGCAUUAAAUACACUAAUAUAUCAUCAUGAGAUUAGCACAAUCACUUCAAAUUAAACAGUUAUCAGUGUAAGUGUAAAUGCAUGAUUUUUGCAGAAACAAAUUCAGAAUUUGAAGAAAUAGUACCUGGUUUGCUGGGGAACGGAAUGGGGUAAAACGGGUUGGAAGAUGAAACGGCAGCAUAAGAGAUGGUGUAGCUGCCGUGAUUUGCAGAGCGUCGCCGGAAAGAAGAAACCUCGCCGGAGCAUUUUUCACACUUUCUGGUGACCGACGGGGAACUAGUCUCCGGGAAUAGCUAAAUGGGUCUAAAUUGGAUACUUAGCAAAUGGACUUGGGCUAGUAUGGUCUAUUUUGAAGGCCCAAACCAUCACUCGUGAAUCUUUUAACAAAUAGCCACUUUUAGCUCGGAGCUUUAAAUUCCACGCGUGAAAUUCUAAGACAUUGUUAGGGUAUUUCACCUGUAAAACUUGAAACUACAUGGUCGGAAACUGGUAAAUACUACUUCUAAUAUUCUUUUACACAUAAUUUGCUUAUACUAAUGUUAGGUGUGCUAAAUUUAGCGCAUAAAAAUAUAACAUGUUCAUCUUGUUUAGAUGAUAUUUAUUAGCGAGUUAUUUUGAAUAUAGCUUAUCUAAAAGUUUAAGCUAAUUUGAAUGGCAUAUCUAUUCAUUAAAAAAAAACACAAAGUAAAUAAUCCAAGAUCAAAGAAAUAUAACUUGUAUUGCUUCUUUCAAAGGGUCACAUACAAAAAAAGGAUAUAUAUACACAAGUAUAUACCCUUUUCUUUUUCUUUCUUCCAAUAAAUUUCAUGUUAAUGAAAAUCCACCACCUUUCAUCAUUUGUCUAAAUUCUUUAAAAUCAACCAUCCCAUCACCAUCCACGUCGACUUUCAUGAUCAUCCUCUUACAAUCUUCCAAAGUUUUACCUUGUUUCAAUCCUAAUGAUCCCAAAACGGACCUUAAUUCUUCCACCGUUAUAUAUCCAUCACCAUUUUGAUCAAACACGUUGAACGCUUCUCUCAUAUCCUCCUCUUCGUCCUUCUCGUCCAUGAUUGACUUGUACAAUGUCCCGAAUUCAUCUAUAUCGAUAUAUCCAUCUCCGUUUACGUCUAUUUUUUCAAUCAUAUGAACAAGUUCUUGUUCCUCAAUGUGUAUUCCCAAGCUUUGUAACGAAUCGUUGAGCUCCUUUUUCGUUAUAGUUCCAUCUCCGUUACGAUCAAACAUUUGGAAAAUUCUAUUUAGCUCUACGGGGUCCAUUUCUUAGAUGAAAUUACAAAGAGAAUGAACCCUUUGAAGGUUUUAGUAUAAAAGGAUUUGGGUUUGGGAUUGAUGAUGUUAAAAGAAGCAUGAAAAUGCAUGUGAGAGAAAAUAACAAGGGAAAUAAUAUUUCUGAGAAGAUAGAAAUAAAUGGCUAAGGGGUUUAAAUGGUGGAGGAAAAAUUAAGGAGGGUGGUUUGAGGACACCCACUAAUUUCGUGGAAUCAAUGAUAUUCUUUUUAAGAUAUAAAAAUAGACACAAGAUUCAAGAAUAUCUAAUUCCACAUUUCUUGGUGACUUUAUUAAUUAUUCCGUAUCAAAUAUUUUAGUUAACAUAAAUUAGAUUUGAUUGAAACUAUUUGACGUUUUAAAAGAUACAUUUUGUUCAAAUCUAACUUUAUUGCUCCAAUUUAGUGGUGUAUUGAAUUUUUUGGAGAUAGAUAAAUGAUAGUCUAAGCAAUCGAGAAAUAGAUAAUAAUAGCACCUUAUAUUAUUUAUUGUACAUAGAUGUUGUUUUGUUGCCGUUUAUCUGUUAUUUUUGUUUUGAUUGUUAUUUCUUCUACUUCAGUUGCUUCUUCUUUUUUUAGAUAACUUUGAAUUGUUUUUCUUGAACCGAAGGUUUAUCAAAACAACCUAUCUAUCUCUUAGAUUGGAAUAAGAUUUGGGUACGUUUUACCAUCACUAUACCUCACUCUGUGAGACUAGUGUUUAUGUUGUUUUUUUAGUGAUAUGUUAUUCUCGUUUUAAUUUUUAAUUGCUUAGUUUGAUAUAAAUAUCGGGUAUGAGUAAGUAGUUACUCCGUUUGAGUAGGUGAGUUUGGACGUCAUCUCUUGAAAUAUGUCAUUGUGGAACUCAUGUCUGUAGACGUGAGGUAAAGGUUUAGGACCACGUAAAAUAUAGUGGUGUGUAUACUAUACAAGUACUAGUAUGCAUCCAGCUAAAUAUAGGUUGGAGAAAUUGAUAGAUUCAACAAUAUAAAGUCGUAAUAAGUGACCUUUCAUUCAUUGUAGGGACUCUUAAAUCUGAUUUUGAGUUACUCCGUGGUUCAUGGCGGAUGUGCUGCAAAGAUUAAGGGGACCAGAGAAUGCUGUCGAGGUGGCAAAAUUGGCCCAUGAAACAUGACCGGCCAAACUCAAACAAAAAACAAUGUUAGUUGUGUUGGUAGAUAUAGCAAAUUCCCAUUGAAUUAGUCGAGAUGUGUACAUGCUUGUAUGAGGGUGUGUUGCUCAUGCCUAACUGCUAAAGACAGCAAGAGGCCAUAAACCAAUUGUCUAUCCUGUUCAACAUGGGUUAAAGGAACAAAAACCAGAAGCAUCAAACUUGUUAAUCCAGAAAUUUUGGAAAUCUAAUUUCAUUAACUAACAGCUACUACAUUCUGCAUUCACCAUCCACUGCAUUUCACUUGGCGUGGAAGCCAUAAAUCUGAUAGAUAGGUUAGUUCCAAUAAUUAGGUCAUUGUUGACUUGUCUGCAAUGCAUACCGACUAAAAGAUCUAUCCAACUUUAUCAUAUUGGCUUCCCAAGUUCUAUCUUUUAAGAUCGUCUUUACAUACUGAAUGGGAGAGGAGAGGAGAGAGUGCACAACUGACCAUCAAUAAACAACUGGAAUUGACAACUGGUCUGUUGCACAAGGUAAUUCUUAUCGGAGAUAGGAAUGUGAUCAAACUGUGUGUCCUCCAAGAUCUCGUAACAGAAGUAUCUAAUUGUCAAGUAUAUAGGAAUUGAAAUCCCAUUGCUUGCGAAAACAAAGAUAUGAUUGGUUUUGGAUAGUGCUUGCUUACUCCAAGUAUUCAGAAACACGGAAAAGAAUAUAGCAGUACUGAUAUAUAUAAGCACAAGAACAAGAUGUCAACAAAAUGGGUGACUCAAUGAAAAAUAUACAAGCAUAAUGCAAGUUGUUAUGUUUAAAUGGGUCAUGAGAUGUGCCAGGAUCAUUGAGUUCACAAACUCCAGCCAAGAAGCUCACCUUUUUAUUUCCCAAUUCCACCUUUUUUAUCACCUAAUCCUUUAUACGCAUGUACUAUAAUUACUACUAAAGAGCUUUAUGUGAAAGAACACUAAAACGUGGAACUCUGAAGACUGUGGCUACUGAAAUCAAAUUAGCUAGUUCAAGCUUCUUGACUUUACCCGCUGAACUAUAAAGUUUACAUUCUUCCAAGUAAAUCUAAGUGCCUUUAUAUUCGUGAUCUGAAGAUAUGAAAAUCGAAGUUGUACCAUGAAAAUAUGGCUCAGUGAAAAGGAGGCUGGUCUGAUAGAAGUAAUAAAGUAACAUUUUGAAGGUAGAUAGACACAAGUACGAGUAAAGAAGGGGAUGGGUAGAAAUGUCUACAUUCAUUACAGAGAGAACUAUGUAGUGACAUAUGGCUAAAAGAACACAUGCAAUGGCAAUAGACAAUGAGUACAAGGAUAGAUAUGCUUAACGCAAUGAUAAAUAUAUUUUAAGGUUGAUGCGCUCAAGUAGUAAGGUCUGCGUACACCAGACUCCAAUUGUGGGAUUACACGGGGUAUGUGUUGUUGCUCUCAAGUAGUAUUUCAAGAAAGUAGGCAGACAGGCCAAAAUAUAUUAGUACUCUGAUUCAGGUUCAGAAAAAAGGGUGUUUAUAUUUUUUGCCCUUCACUUCAUAAAAUUUAUUAGUUUACCAAAACAAAAAACAAAAGAAAGUUCAGAAAGGAAAUUUGAUGCAUGACAUUUUUGUGACAGUACGACAAUAGAUGAAUGUCUAACAGCAGAAACAGAUACAGGUCUAAGCCUUAUUGCAGAAGUGAUGGGACUACUGGAGAAUAAUAGAAGAAAGCAUACAUCUAGAGCUAACACAUGACAAUGCUCAUAACCUCAAACAAACAGAAAGCUGGAAGAAUGUUAGGCAAGGUUAACAACUGAUUGGCUGCCUACUAUCCAGUUCUCAGAAUGAAUUUAGUAUGAGCAGUGAUACUCUGUUACUUUUCUUAAGCAUGUCGCAUAAAAUCUCUUUAGCUGGGAUAGUUCCUUGUGCCUAAGGUCCCGAUUAGAAUCCUAACCCUCCCAAUUACGAAAGGGUUUUUUAUUGAUCUCAGACAUAGCACCACAUGUUCUCCUGCUAUGGGGUGUGACAAGAAUCCUUGCAAACUGAAACAGGAGAAUUUCCUCACAAUAGAAUGAAUUUGUGUUGCUUUAGAAGGUCAGGGACAUAAUUUACUCAAUAGUAGAUUGUAAGUGCCUAUAACUAAACGUAAUGAAUUCUUGUUGCUUUAGAGGGUCAGGUACAUAAUCUACUCAGUAAAUACUAGCUUAUACACUACAACUAAAUAGAGGCACAUCCAGUAGCACCUGAUGUUUAGUUGCAGCUAACCGCGACAAUGCUCAAGAUUCUUGUUUCUUUAGAAGGUCAGGGACGUAGUAUACUCAGUAAAUAGCACUCUAGCUAAUACAUUACAAUUAGUUUUCUUUAUAGGCACAUCCAGUGGUAUGCAAUCUUUAGUUGCAGGUGGUCUGGCGACCAAUGGUCAAGAAAGGCUAUGAUGUUUUCCACCUCUCACCAAAUUUAGUCGUAGCCUUAUUUCUCAAGUCAGUAACACAUUUUUACAAAGGCAUAAACAUGAAUUUCAGACUAUGUGAUUGCAGAGGAAUUACAAGCUCACAACAACAAUUAUGCCUUAAUCACUAAUUAGUUGGGACUUGGGACCAGCAAUAUGAAUCUUUUAUAUCUACUCAACUCUAUCAAACCAAUUCCAUUCUAGUACCGGUAAAUUAAAGUGUCGUCAUACCACCAAAGACAGAUUGAUAUUAAAAUAACUCAUACAGGAAUUGGGAAAGUAUUCAUUUAAAACGAACAAAGUUGUCAACUUUCAGACAAUUUUGACAGAAAUUGCCUAUCAAGUACCAUAAGUUCCACAUUUUAUUAACUCAAAGCACUAAAAUUCCAGUUCACAGACAUAGAAAAAUAUUCAUUUCACCUUUUAUGGGAUAUCCCAUGGCUUAGGCUCAGGAAUUGCCACAACCAUUCCUUGAAGCUCCGGUGAGAGGACCACCUGACAACCCAACCUAGAAUGCUUGUUCAAAACCCUAGCCCUAGAGUUCCUCUUCAGCACAUACUGCUCAUCGUAAGAAGCUUUUGGAAGCUUCUCGAGCCAUUCUUGAGCAAUGUGCACCUCACACUCGGAGGAGCACGCAUCAAUGUCUUCAAGGCGAUGUGAAUCCGGGUCGAUUAACCCGUGGUUGGUUAGAGCUUUGAGCAGAGUUUGGCCCGAGAGUCCAAUAAUCUCCCGUUUACAGCCCUCAGGGUCAACGGCGAAGAGCUUGACGAUCCGAUCGGCGACUUUGGCGGAGCCGGUGCGGGAUGAACAUGAGGAUGCGGAGGAUCGAGUAAUUGAAAAAAUCGAAGGGUUUCGUGCGAUUCGUGAGGCGAAUCUCUGCAUAUUAGCAACGGCCAUCUUCGAAUGUUAACCAAUUUUGGGGGAAAUGAAUGCCCUAAACUCUCCACUAGUGUGGAAGGAGAAAACUAUAUUUUUAAAAAUAAUUGUCCGGUUUGGAUUCGUUUGUGUACACCUCGACUAAUAUCAUCCUAAAUAAUUAUAACUCACUGUCUAUCUAGGCUACAACAUAUGGAAAUAAAUCAUUUUUUUGUCUAGCCAUUUCAAUUUAUAUGACAAGUUUGAUUAAUUCAUAUAGCAGAAUUUGAUUAGAUACGAAUUCAAAGAAUCGAAGACGUUUGAAGUUUGUGAUUCAAAAAUCAUUUAUAAUUAUUUAUAUAGUUGUAAUUUGUAAAUAAUUUAAUUUCUCUAGUUCACUCAUCAAGAGUAUUUUCUAAGCAAUCAUGAACGUGGAGUAAAAAAAGUUGAAAUUGUUUAUUUAUCAAACCAAGGGAACAAACUCUUUUAUAGAAAUGAAAAAAAGGGUAAAAAAAUGUCUAAGUUUGAUCUAAAAAUAGUUUCGUCGUCAACAAUUUGGUUCAGAAAAUGCUUGUAGGCACCCCACCCCUCGACUCGAAAAUCACAAUGUAGAUAGAUUACUUUUAUAUAUUACUAGUACUAGUAUAUAAGAUGAAUACUGGAGAGAAAUUGAUGUGAGGAGAAAUUAUCAUUUCUAUUGCUGACAAGAAUAUAUAUCAUGAAAUAUCCCACUCCUUUCUUUUCUCUUUUAUAAAAUUUUCAUGCAGGAAACAAGCAAAAUCUAUCUUUUAUCUCUAAAAUCAUUCUUCAUUCUUCAUAUAAUCAAAUUUUCUUGCCCUGUAGCCAACUGUCGUAGAAAUACAACGACUCUUGUGGUUUGUACUCAGGCACGGUGUGUCCAGAUCCCUGAGGAUUUCGGAAAUCAAUCAAUUAAAUCAAAGAAAAAAUAGAAAACAAAAAAAAAACAUUUCUUGAUAAAAACAUACCUUAAUAGUCAGAAAUGUGAGGUUGUUGGCAUAACCUUGUGUGUAACUGCAGAAAAGAUUUAAGAUGAAUUUUACAGAAUUGCAACACAUUAGACAUGAAAAAGAUUUAGAAUUAGGUGAAAACGCGAACAUACCCUGCAACUUGUUGGGAACUGCAAAAAAGAUUUAAGCAUUUAGUAUGAAUUUUACAGAAUUGGAUCACAUUAGAGAAGUUAAACAUGAACAUGAUUUAGUAGGUGAAAAACACAAAUAUACCCUUGAAUUUUUUCUUUCGUAUACCAUGGCCUCCAUUCAUCCACGAUUGCAUAUCCAAGUGAACUUGUCCAUUUUUCUGAACCAGUGUAUGGUACACACAUAUCGUGAUCCCCACUGCAACAAACAAAUGUGUCUUAGUCGAUAGAAUAUACAGGAAAUACAUAUAGACGAUCAGUUUUCUUCUUUAUAUGUGUUUUACAUAAUAAUACCACGAGUAAUACAGAAGAAUGCAUGUUAAGAGACUCGGUAAUCUAUUGAACCUGUAUAUGAGUGCCCGAUAACCCUGAGUUGUAAGGUUUUUGUGAUACGGAAUCAUGCUUCCAGCAUCAUGAGUGAAGUUUAAGUGUUUGCAUAGCUCCCAAGGACCUGUCACAGUUGCCUGUUGUACCACAAGAUUGAACCAUAAAUCGAUCACCAAUUGGUAAAAGUAAAUCAUCAUGUUUAAAGUUAGUACAAGAUGAGUAAAUUGUAUCUUACUGGUUCAGCAUGAAUUGCUUUACGAACAUCUUCAUUGUUUAGCCACGCAGUAGCAACAGUAUCAUCCUGCAUAUUUCAUUUCAGAUUAUGUGUCUCUUGAAGAGAAUAAACAAAAGGAAAGAAAAAACCAAGAGUGACUUACAGUGCAAAAGACAUUAUUAUGAUCGAGAAGCUCUGGCCAAGAUGGGACAAGUCCCUCUCUUACUGGAGCAUUAAAAGGCCAAGCACGGCCAAACAUUCUGGUUCUAACAGGAAGAGGCCUUUCUGUCUCACCUAGUUUACGAAAGCUCAUUGGCAAUUCUGAGUUUUUGGUGCUAUAAGGGGUGUGGUAACACGGUUCUAGUAUGUCAUAAAUGUUUAGUCCCAUGACUUUCUGCAAUAGGCGGAAAAGAUGAAUUUGGACCAAUACAGAACAAUGAAUUGUUGUCACGACAAAAUAAAUCAAGCAUCACAGAGUAACACCUUACCUGACUAAUUUUUAAUAGUAAUAAUGUACAGUUCUGACUGCUUGAGAUGUAGAAGUCUCCUUUGCAUGCAGCAGUUGCAUCCUGAGCAUGAAAAAGAAUAAUCAGAGACCAGUUGCUAAUAUAUUGGAGUGGUAAAUGUAUAAACAUACAUUAACAUUUGCUUUGUAACAUAUUUUUUGACAGACUACAAUUCUAAAUAAGUUCAAGAGUCAAAUGAUUCAAGCACAAGAAGAAGCAAAUACCUCGAAUAAUUUAUCUGAAAUGAGGCCCAUACCAUGUUGAAAUGGAACAAUAGCAUUACCGUCUAUCUUCUCAUCUGUCACGCCAUUUCCCACCAUAUAACCCUGUGCAAUAGAACAUAAAGAGUUUACAACCCAGACAACUAGUUAAAAUCUUGAAAUGUAUAUACCUUAAACAUGGACAGAGUCAGUCCUGACCUUAAAGUUGAUGACGGGCGUUACUUUAGCAUCGAUACCUGAAAAAACAUAAGCAGCAGAAGGUUAGUUUGUGUAUCCCCUGCCUAGCAGUAGCACCAACCAAUACAUGAUUACCUUUUACUACUUCAGAAGCCAGAGUUGGCACGUAUAUUCCAGCAUAAGACUCUCCAGAUAUGUAGAAUGGGUUCGUGAGGAACUCCGGGUAGAUCUCAAACCACUAGCAAGAGCAUCAGUUAGUAGAAACCAUAAACGAGCUUAGACAGAUCUAGCGUAAAACUAGUAAAUUUAUGUAAUGUUACCUUGAGGAGAAACGCAUGGGUUUCGGUUGCAGUUUUUAAGUCUCCUGUAUUAUAGUCAGCUUUAUUUUUCGAGUAAGAUAAUCCAACACCAACAGGAGAGUCCAGAUAUAUUAUAUUGGAAACCUGGAAGAAUCAAAUAAUAAUGAGUGGCUAAUGAAAUGUAAGCAUAUGAUAAAAGUAGAAUUAACACAAAUAAUAACCUUUGACCAACUGUAUGGAUUGUUAUGCAGAAUAGGCAAGCUACCAUUUGCCUUCCCCAACUCAAAAUUAAAAGGUCCUGCAAUGUAUAGAACACAAGACUCAACUGUUACACUAUGCAUUACAAAAUAUAGGCAUUUGUUAAAAAAUCAAGUCUUUUGUCUAAUCGAGUAUAUCGAUUAGAGUAUUAUCAUCUACGAUCAAAAUAUUUUAACCCGCUCAAAUUCAACUCAACCAGUAAAAUUAAGAAUUAAAGUUGUUACCAUGCUCAUAGACAAAUCCAUCAAAGCUUGAACAGCCAGGUCCACCAUUAAGCCAAAGAACAACUGGAUCCUUUGAUGGAUUUCUUUCAGAUUCAAUAAAGUAGUAAUACAUAUUCUUGCCAUGGCUUUCAUCUAAAUUAACAUACCUGAAAACCCAUUUCAAAUAAUAUUCAAAAAAAAGGUACAAAAAUCAAAAUAAAGUUUAUUACAUCUUUUUAUCAAAAAACACAAAAAGAAUCCAUACCCAGCAUAAUGUUUUGACAGCAAUUUGCCAGUGAAGCCAGGGAUUUGAGUUACCAGUGCACCCUGAGGUGCCCCUUCUGUUACCAAAAAACAAAAUGCCAACAAUGUUAACACUAUAGUAUACUCUAAAAUAAUGUUUUUUCUAGCCAUGUUUGGUGUAUCAAAAUUCAGAAUUAUUUGAUGUUUCCCCUAAAAGAACACAAAUGAUGGGGCUUUUAUAGUGUGAGAAAAUGAAGUGUGACAUCAUUAUAAUAACUAUUCCAUUAAUAUUUGGAUUAAUACAAUCUAACUUAGUCUUAAUAUAGUAAAAAGUUAAUUAUGAAUUUAUGAUUUAUAUUUUUGAAUAGUUUGACUGAGAAAAUAACAAAAAAAUAAAGUCUUAUACAUUUAAGGAAUAUUCAUCAAUUUAUUUAUGUAUUUGGAUUUUUGGGAUGUUGGACGGACAAAAUGACAAAGUAGAAGUCUCUUAUAUUUAUGAAUGAAAUACAAUAAUACUAUCUAUAUCAUAUUAACUAAUUCUAUAUUUAUUUUCAAAUUAUUACAGAUAUUUUCAUUAAUUAAGAAUUUUGUAUCAUAUUUUAAGUUGGAUACAUUGAGAUGCAACAUUCUCUGAAAAGUAGCCCAAAUUAGGAUAAUUGAAUAUCUGAAUAAGUUUUGUAUCCGACUCCUCUCCAUUUUCCUCAAGUUUCUAUUUGGAUUAGUGAUGCAUAACAUAAGUUAAUUUAAGUGGUUAAGAUUUAACUUCCCAAAAUAAAUUUCUAACCAUGAUUUAAAUAAUAAAUAUAUUGUAUAAUUUGUUUUAAAAAUGAUUAUAAUCCCAAAUCUUUGCAAUAUAUUAAUUAUUAUCUUGUUAAUAAUUAUAGAAAAACAAGUUUUCUUCUUAAAAUUUUUAUGCAGGAUCUUUCUUUUAUUUUCUUGUUAAAUUAAUCUUUUUAUUACAUAACAUACCAAUUAAUUAAGAUACACCACAUAUCUGUUAGAACUCAAAUACAAAUAUAUGGUGUAUAAAAGCAAAAAGCUUAUUUGCUGUUUAGAUUAUAAAUUUAUUCCAAGUCUAAUAAAGGGGUGACUUACAUACAAGUACAUCAAUGAAUUUCUAAUGUUUUUUUUUAUAUAAUUAUGUAAUAAUAUAAAUGUAUAUUAAAUAUUUACUAUUGAUGAUGUUUAAUCAGCUAUUGGUAAAAAUUGUGAAAUCAUUUAGCUUUUUGAUUUUCGUUUACACCUACUUAAUCAACACAACAACAAUAAUAUCAUACCCAAUGUAAUUCCUUAAAGACUUAGUAAUCUAUUAUGAACCUGUAUAUGAUUGUUUGAUAUCCCGAGCUGUGAGAUUUUUGUGAUACGGAAUCACACUUCUAAAAUCAUACAAAAAUGCAUCCCAACCGCCAAUAAUUUGGUAAAAAAAAGUUAAUUGGCACCCCUGGCUCGAAAAUUACAAUGUAUAUAGUGUGGGAGAUGAAUAUUGGAGAGAAAUUGAUAUGAACAUGCUUUAACAGAGAAAUUAUCAUUUUUAUUGCUGAUAGGAAUAUAUAUCUUCAAAUACAUUGUAAAAUUCCAAUAUCCCCUCUCUUUUAUAAAAUUUUCCUGUAGAAAAUAAGAAAAAUCUAUCUUUUAUAAAUAAUUGAAGUUAAUGUCUACUAAUUAAGUCUUCAUUCUUCAUAUUAUCAUAUCUUCUUGCCCUCUAGCCAACGUUCAUAGAACUCCAACGCCUCUAGUGGUUUGUACUCAGGCACGGUGUGUCCAGCUCCCUGAAGAUAUCCGAAAUCAAUCAAUUAAACAAAAGGGAAAAAAAAAAUAGAAAACGAAAAAAUAUUUCUUGAUAUACACAUACCUUAAUAGUCAGAAAAGUGAGGUUGUUGGCAUAACCUUGUGUGUAACUGCAGAAAAGAUUUAAGAUGAAUUUUACAGAAUUGCAACACAUUAGAGAUGAACAAGAUUUAGAAGGUGAAAACGCGAACAUACCCUGCAACUUGUACGUAUCUGCAAAAAAGAUUUAAGCAUUUAGAAUGAAUUUUACAGAAUUGAAUCACAUUAGAGAAGUUAAACAUGAACAUGAUUUAGUAAGUGAAAAACACGAACAUACCCUUGAAUUUCUUCUUUUGUAUACCAAGGCCUCCAUUCAUCCACGAUUGCAUAUCCAAGUGAACUUGUCCAUUUUUCUGAACCAGUGUAUGGUACACACAUAUCGUGAUCCCCACUGCAACACACAAAUAUGUGUCUUAGUCAAUGUCUAUCCGUGUUUUACAUAAUAAUACCACGAGUAAUACAGAAGAAUGCAUGUUAAGAGACUCAGUAAUCUAUUGGACCUGUAUAUGAGUGCCCUAUAUCCCCAAGCUGUGAGGUUUUUGUGAUAUGGAAUCAUGCUUCCAGUAUCAUGAGUGAAGAUUAGUUUGUUUGAGCAAAGCCGCCAGCGACCUAUCACAGUUAUCUGUUGUAUAACCAUAAAUCGAUCACCAAUUAUAUUGUCUUUUUUGAGUGAAGGUAAAUCAUCAUGUUUAAAGUUAGUACAACAUGAGUAAAUUGUAUCUUACUGGUUCAGCAUGAAUUGCUUUACGAACAUCUUCAUUAUUUAGCCACACUGUAGCAAUACGAUCACUCUGCAUAUUUCAUUUCAGAUUAGAUGUCUCUUAAAGAGAAUAAACAAAAGGAAAGAAUAAAUCAAGAGCGACUUACAAUGCAAGGGACGUAGUUUGUAUGUUUGAGAAUCUCCGGCCAAGAUGGGACAAGUCCCUCUCUUACUGGAGCAUUAUAAGGCCAAGCACGGCCAAACAUUCUUUUUCUGACAGGAAAAGGCCUUUUUGUCUCACCUAGUUUUCGAAAACUCAUUGGUAAUCUUGAGUUAUCAGUGGUUACAUCAGGUACAGUGUUGUGGUAACACGGUUCUAGAAUGUCAUACGUGUUUAGAUCGUCAACAUUCUGCAAUAGGCAGAAAAGGUGAAUGUGGAUCGAUAAACCAGAACAAUGGAUUGUUUGAAUCAAACAUGACAAAAUAACACCUUACCCGAUUAAUUUUACCUUGCAUGUCUUUACAAUGCUGACUCGUUUCAUUGUAGAAGUUUCCUUGGCAUGCAGCAUUUGCUUCCUGAGCAUGAAAAAGAAUAAUCAGAGACCAGUUCCUAAUAUAUUGAAGUAGUAAAUGUAUAAACAUACAUUAACAUUUGCUUUGUAACAUAUUUUUUGACAGACUAGAAUUCUAAAAUUAGUUCAGAAGUCGAAUGAUUCAAGCACUAGAAAAUUAAACAAGAAGAAGCAAAUACCUCGAAUAUUUUAUCUGAAAUAAGGCCCAUACCAUGUUGAAAUGGAACAAGAGCAUUAGCGUCUAUUAUAUCAUCUGUCACGCCAUUUCCCACCAUGUAACCCUGUGCAAUAGAACAUAAAGAGUUUACAGCCCAGACAACUAGUUAAAAUCUUGAAGUGUAUAUACCUUAAACAUGAACGGUUCAAUGUAAUCAGUGACCUAAAGUCAGCCAUUAAGUAAAUGUCUGAAGUAUAUUGAAUAAAAUUAGCCCUGACCUUAAAGUUGAUGGCGGGCUUUACUCCAGCAUCAAUACCUAAAAAACAUAAGCAGAAGAAGGUUAGUUUCUUAAUCCCCUGAACACCACCAAUCAAUACAUGUUCAUUUAAGAUCCAGAUUACCUUUUGCUAUAUCAGAAGCCAGAGUUGGUACGUAUAUUCCAGCAUAAGACUCUCCAGAUAUGUAAAAUUGGUUCGUGAGGAACUCCGGGUAAAUCUCAAACCACUAGCAAGAGCAUCAGUUAGUAGAAACCAUAAACGAGCUAGGACAUAGCUAGUAUAAAACUACAUUACAAAAGAAAGUGUGAAUUACAUGAGGAUUUUCCUAGGGAUUAGUAUGAAAAUCCGCAGGAAACUUAUUUUCCUACAAAUUUUAAUACUAAUCCCCAAGAAAAUCCCCAUGUAAUUCGCACUUUUCUUGUAGUGAUAGCUAGUAAUUAAAUUUAUGUAAUGUUACCUUGAGGAGAAACGAAUGGGUAUCGGAUGCAGUCUUUAAGUCCCCUGUGUUAUAGUCAGCUUUAUCGUUCGAGUAAGAUAAUCCAACACCAACAGGAGCAUCCAGAUAUAUUAUAUUGGAAACCUAGAAGAAUCAAAUCAUAAUGAGUGAGUACUAAUAAAAUGUAAGCAUAUGAUAAAAGUAGAAUUAACACAAAUAAUAACCUUAGACCAACUGUAUGGAUUGUUAUGCAGAAUGGGCAGGCUAUCAUUUGUCUUUCCCGCCUCAAAAUUAAAAGGUCCUGCAAUGUAUACAACACAAGAAUCAACUGUUACUUGAAUUGUUAACAUUAUUCUUUAUAAAA